AAUUUAAAAAAGUUAAUAAAAGGAUGAUAAAAAAAAAAUAAUUAUCACAGAAUACAUAAAUUGAUAUAUUUUAAAUCACAUGUUCUAAAGAGGAAAAAACGUAAACCCGUGUAUUUAAGGCCCGUUUGGUUCAGGGGAUAAUGCGGGGAUAACGAAAGUUAUCCCCGCUAUUCGCCAAACGGGAUCAUUUUUUAUGAGAAUAUUUUAUUCGGUCAAAUCUUGCUAUUCCGGUUAUUCCGAAUAGCAAGUUUUUACUAUUCACCAUUUUGGUGGAAUAGUAGCUGCUAUCUCAUGCUUAAUUUUCAAACUCUAAUUAAAAUUAUAAAAUAAAUUAAAACUAAAUUAUAUAAAUAUAAUAUAUUAUAUAUUAUAAUACAUUAUUUUUAUUAUAAAAUUAUUAAUUGUGCUAUAUUAAUACAUAUUAUUUAUAUUUAAAUAUUAUAAUAAAUUUUAUAAUAAAUUAUAUUUAAAUAUUAAAAUAAAUUAAAAUUUAAAAUUUAAAUAAAUUUAAAAUUUAAAAUAUUAUAAUAAAUUAUAUUUAAAAUUUAAAAUUUGUAAUCUCAAAAUUAAAGUUUAUAAUUUUAAAUUCCACAUUUUAAAUUUUAAAUUUAAAUUUUGAAAUUUUAAAUUUUUGAAAUUUUAAAUUUGAAUUUUAUUUUUUUUCAAAUUUAAAUUUGAUCUUAAAUUUAAAGUUAGAAAUUUAAAAUUUAAAUUUUGAAUUUAAAAUUUGAGAUUUUAAAAUUUAAAUUUUAAUUUCAAAAUUUGAAAUUUAAAAGUUAAAAUUUUAAAUUUUAAAAUAUAAAUAUAAAAUAUAAAAAUUUAAAUUUUAAUAUAAAUAAAAAAGUGAUAAUAUUAUUAAUUUUUAUUUAUAACUACCAACUUUAAAUCUUAUUCCAAUCUUACCUAGCCAAACGUUAUUUUUCUUAUUCCCAGAAAUAACCCAAUUUUCAUCCAAACGCAAAAUUGAUCUAAUCCCUGCUUAUACUUCAAUUUAUACCUAUUCCUGAAAUAUCCACUUUUUGCUUAUCCGCGAACUAAACGAUACCUAAAGUUUAGCCUAUUUUUUUAUCCACACAUAUUCUUGCUUACGUGGACUCACACGUCAUGCCAUAUGUCAAAUCCUUCCCAGGAAAGUAUGUAGCGAAAAAAGGUCCCUUGGGAAACGAACCCCCCCUAACCCGACCUAAAUAUUUAAUCAAAUUAAUUUCUUUUUUCUUUUUUCUUGAUAUUUUUUCCUCACCAAUAAAUGAAUAAAUUAAUAAUUAAUUAGCAGUCACAUCUCGGAAUCUGCGCAAAGCCUCCUCGCUUCCAUAAAGUAAAGGAGAUCGAACGGCCACGUUUCGCCCUACCAGAGCACUUACCCCCUCGCUAACCCUCCCCCCUAAUCACUUUUUUAAUCCUCUUUUUUAAUCACAAUUAAACGUGGAAUCAACCCCCCCCUAAUUUUCUUAAUUAAUUAUUAGUCCCAAGGGCCUCGAGUCGCGCGCCACGAAUCUGUUCCAACCACCCAAAGAGCUAUUCUCCCCCCACUUUUUAUACUUUUGGGGGGGUUCCCCUUUUUUCCCCUCACCAUCUUUUUUUGCUUUUGGGUGUGAAUGUUCCAAACAAGGCCCCCUACCAAUAUAUCAUGACAAAGAGCACUCCUUUUCUUUGUCUCUUCAAAGCGCAGAUUCUCAGCAGACUCGUUACUCAGAAAAUUUUUUAUAGUAUAGUUCAGGAACAUGAUUCUGUUAAAUUUUAUAAAAAUAUUAAAUCGUAUAUUCUGUUAUGAUUUUGAUUUUCAAACCCGAAUUAUAGACGGCGUUUCUUGCUUAUGGUUCGUUCUUAUAGUUUUGCGAAAUAUUUCGAGUCUAUUUCUUUAUCUCGGGAAAUAGAGCCGUCAUAAAAAAGUAGGAUUAGGAAUAGGCCGAAACUCCUAUAUGUUACAUUUAUUUAUAUAUAAUUUAAUGUAAGGAUGUUAAAUUAUACUGGUCCAAUAAGAACGUGUCUAGAUAUAUUCUAAUUGUUGAAUCGACCGUAUUUUUAUAGAUCAUCCUGAAUAGAUCGAUUGUAUCUUUAUAAAUCGUCUUGAAUAAACCAUGUGGGUCAUAUCUAGUGUGUCCAUCUAAAAAAAAUAGUGUAUCUUAGACAUUGACGGUGAUUGUGAUUGUUAGCUGCUGUAGUAAUAGAUGGAUCGUGGGCUCAGUUCUCGCUACGGCGCGAAUUCUCUGCAGAACACGUUGUGCGGAAAAUUUUUGAGUUGUAGAAACCUAAAGGCGCAGGGCCUUAACCAUUGGUAUUCUCCGUAGACCCAUUGUGCAGAAAAUUUCUGUCCGAUAGGAAUUGAAGUGUUUGUUUUUGUGAUCCGACUGUCUGUCAAAAUAGUAACAGAGAUAUAUUUUGUUCUUAGAUGGACGGUGAAUUGGUACACGGAAAAUUCUCUAUAAAGCCUAGACUCAAUUGAUAGACUAUUUUCAUAUAGUAGAUAUAUUUGAAAGUUCAUCCAAAAGUGUGAUAUAUCUCAACUAUUCAUAGUGAUUUGUUGAUUAGUCAUGCCUAUGGCUGGCAAUCCAGUCCGCGACUCAGUUCGUGCUUGGCUUGAAAUGAGUUCGGGAUGGAUCGCUCGUUUAAAUAAAUAAGUCGAAUAUGAGAUAAAUUUUUCAGCUCGCUCAUGUUCUUGACCCCAAUUCGUGUUUGGCUCGAUAUAUAUAUAUAUAUUAUAUAUAUAUAUAGUUAUUAUAUAUAUAUAUAUCUUCCCACCUCUCUUCUAACCAGCCAUCAAAUUUGAUGGUGGUUAGAAAGUUGAGUGAGCACAAAGGCUGCUGUGUUCCUAUAGCACAUAUCCCUACUCUCUCUCGUCCUCUCUCUCUCUCUAUAUAUAUAUAUAUAUAGUAUAUAUAUACUAUAUAUAGAGUUGCGACUGCGUACUAUAGUAGCAAAAUUUUUAUUGUUGGUACCCAGUUUAUUUAGCCUUGGAUCAACUCUUUUCAUCAUUAUAACAUUGAAUUAAAUACUAUAACCCAGUGUGAGAGUCAUCAACCCUAGCGGCGAGCACUCAACUCUAACUGACUAAUAUAUCCUACUCUACAAUUGUCAUCCAGUGUUUAAAAACUUGAUACCAAAAACAAGGGUUUUACUGUUAAUAGUGAUUCCAGUAAAUUAUAAAUAUAUAUAUAUAUAUAUAAUAUAUAACUAUAUAUAGAACAGAGAUGAGAAGAGAAAGAGAGAGGCUUGGGAGAGGCGCUGUCAUUGAGUGGUCGUGGGAGCUUCCUCGCGGAGCCAGUCCGCGAUGAAACUGAUCUCGGAGAGAGAGAGAGUGAUUGGAGAUGAACUACUCAAUAAACAUCGGAUGCUUACCCCGUUUGCGCCUGGGUGUUGUAGGGCAGUGAGGUCACACCAUUCAGUACGCGCACUGUCUGAAUGGUUUUGCAUCGAGAGAGCAAGAGAGAGAGGUCGGCUACUAUGCUAUUAAUAGCACGAAGUACUUUGUGCUACAAGUUUUCCGCCGUUAGAUCUACCCUUUUGAUCAUUUUCAUCCGUUAGAUCAUACUAUUCAACCAACACCACACAUCAACCCUAGAGGACCCACAUCAUCCUUAUCGCACAUCUCUUAAUCCAAUGGCAAAAAUUGGUAGCACCAAUGACUUGGUGCUAUUAAUUUUUAGCCCUUAGACUAAAAAUAUUACGGUUAGGAUGAUAUGAGCCCCUAGGGUGAGUUGGGUGUUGGUUUGAAUAGUAUAAUCUAAACGGAUAAAAAUAAUCAAAGUGAUUAAUUUAACGACAGAAAAACUUGAUAGCGCCAAGUUGCUUCGUGCUAUCCGAUAUAAUCAGCAAGCCAUCUCUCUCUCUCUCUCUCUCUCUCUCUCUCUCUCUCUCUCUCUCUCUCUCUCUCUCUAUAUAUAUACAUAUAUAUAUAUAUAUAGAGAGAGAGAGAGAGAGAGAGAAAGAGUUUUGCUAGAAUACUGUUGGUAGUAAACGACUUGGUUUAUUACCAUUUUAUUUUCGAUGGUAGAGGUUCCGGAUUGAUGAUUUCCACUAUUAAAUAUGAUCCAAACCAUUAAUUUAAACUAUUUGAAAAUUAAAUUUCACGUUUUUUCGUUAUUAUUCUCUUGUCCAUUAAGUGAAUAAAAAAUAAAUGACGGAAAAUAAAUAUCCUUCAAAAAAGUGAUGGUACAAUUUUUCUAUUCAACAUUUAGAAUCUAGAUAUUGUUUUAAAUAGUUUAAAAAAUUUUCUAACAAAACAUCAACUGAUUUGAAUUCGUUUAUAUCAUUAAACGAGCAAAUGUAUCAUACUAACUAUUAAAAAUUAUAGAUUUUGUGACUUUUUGAUCGUUUGGUUAGUGAUGUUGAAAACUUGUGAAAUUUAAUUUCUCAAUAGUUUAAAUGGUCUAAAUCAUAUUCAACGGUGCCGAUCAUUGAUUUGGAAGUUGUAUCAUCGAAAACAAAUUGGUAAUAAACCGAGCCGUUUACUACUGAUAGUAGCCCAAGCUCACUAUAAGUUUUGCUAGAAUCCUAUAAGUAGUAAACGGCUUGAUUUACUACCAAUUUAUUUUCGAUUAUAGAACUUUCAAAUUGACAAUCAGCACCAUUGCCGAUUGUCCCUAGAGCAAGUGGCAAAGGGUUUGGUGAUUGGUACCCGAGACACAAGUUCGAAUUCUAGUUGAUUCACAUUUCAAGCUAAUUCCACUACAACAGACUUAGAUUAUAGGGACACAUGUUUGGGACACUUUUGAGUAAGUGUCCCAUUUAUGCUAAAACUUAAAAAAAUAUCUACUAAUGCCUAAAUAUAAAGCCCAAUCCAACCAAAAAUAAAAGAUUACUCUACUCAACCCACCACACCCAGUCCAUUUGGCCCGAUUACAAACAGAAAAGAAAAAAAAAAAAGAAAAAUCAAUUGCCAUCUUUUCUUCUCUCUUCACUCAAUCCACUGAAAUUCUAAACGAAGAGCCUUUCCUGUCGUCCUCCUCUGCCACCGCAGCCAAAGAGAUAAAGUUUCGGCGGUUGCUAAAUGCUUAAAUAAGUGUUCGUAAAUUAGCAGCACUCUUUUAGGUUAUAGCGACACUCUUUAACUGUCACUAUAUACCUAGCGACCCCACAUAUAGCAACACUUUUUAAAAGUGUCGGUAAUUUUAGCUAGCAGCACUUUUUUAACAUGUACCUACAUUUAAAAGUGUCGCUAUAGACCGUUUUUGUUGUAGUGUAAAUUUAUUUCUAAAUGAAAUAAAUGAAGCGGGUAGCGUGCUACCUAUCUCUCAAAGAAAAAAGAAAAAGAAAAAGAAAAAAAAGACAAUCAACAGCAUUAAAUAUGAUCUAAACUAUUUAAGCUAUCUGAAAAUCACAUUUCACUCAUUUUCAGUUAUUGUUCUCUUGUCCAUUAAGUGAAUAAAAAAUGAAUGGCUGAAAAUAAAUAUUAUUUAAAAAGUAAUGAUAUAAUUUUUCUAUUUAACAUUUAGAAUCUAGAUAUUGUUUUAAAUAGUUUAAAGAAUUUUCUAAUAAAAAAUUACUCGAUUUGGACUUUUCUAUACCAUUAAAUAAGUAAACGCAUCAUACCGGUCAUUAAAAAUUACAGAUUUUAUAACCCUUUGAUCGUUUGGUUAGUAAUGUUGAAAACUCGUGAAAUUUAAUUUCUAAAUAGUUUAAAUGGUUUAGAUCAUAUUCAACAGUGUCAAUCGUCGAUUUGCAAGCUCUAUCAUCAAAAACAAAUCGCAAGUAAACUGAGGCGUUUACUAAGGAUAGUAGCCUAGUCAAGCUCUAGGCCUAGCUUGUAGUCGGCUUGAUAUUUUAAUGAGCCAGUUUGUAUUUGGCUCGGACCCCACUCGCUUGUGUUCUGCUCGUUGACAGCCCUAGUCACGCCAGUAGCCGCAAUGCAGUCUAUCCUUACUCGAACAGGAGGAUCAAACUGUAUGUAGGGAUUUUUCUUGCGCCUCGGGUAUGUAAAGAAUCUACACUUCUCUCUAUAAGCCCUUCUUUCAUUCAGUGACAGUGGUGAUUAAGACACUAGGCCUAGCCAAGUUUACAUUAAAAAGAACCCUAAAAUUUGGUAAAGGGUCCUCUUAUAUUCCAACACACAAGCCAAUUCGAGCCUUGGGCUUGGAGCCGAGUUCUAAAUUCCCUUAAAACGUGGCACGAAUCAUGGCACGUCCUUAGGAAUACAAAUGCACAAGCAAGGUAUAUAGAUAUGUAGGCAUCAAAACUAUAAUAGUCUAAGCCAAGCGCUAAACCUGUAAGAGCGAGCCAGAGAGAAAGAAUAUGAAAUUGACUACGAAGAAACUAGCAAGUUGUAGAAAUCUAAAUAGCUAAGCUUCUUUCAGACUAAGUCCUGCCCCCGCCCCGAGAAUGCGCGGGGCCCACCCACACGACUUGUCAGAGCGGACGAAACGACAGCUAGCCAAUCGGCGGCCAGGGUUCGCGAUUAGACAGCCGGAUCGCUUUACUGAUUGGGUGGGUAUGUGUUGGAUCAUCAUUAAUCUAGGGAUUAAGAUAAGCAGCGCGUGUUUCGAGGGGAUUGGGGUUAGGGUUGAGUCUAGGGUUUGCAUUGGGAUGCCAACAGUUGGUGAAUGGGAAACAAGGGGGAGGGGUGUCUGGGAUAAGGAUGGCACAAUUUGUUUAAUAUUAAUGGUUUUUGUUUUAAUAAUAAUGAGCUUAAUUUGUCAAAUGGGAGGGUGUGGUGUGUGUGUGUGUGUGUGUGGUGGCAAAAGAAGGGCUUAGGCAUGUGAGGGAAUCAAAUAACAAAGCAUGCGCAUCUUUUUUUUAUUUUUUUCCUCUCCUUUCAACUCAAACACAUUGCCCCAUUUUGUGGACUUAUUAAACAAGUACAAGAUAUGGUGCUUUGGAUCCAAACAACCUUAGUUAGCAAGCUUAUUAUGAGAAUCUCUCUCUCUCUCUCUCUCUCUCUCUCUCUAAAGCAUCAAUCAAUGAUCCUUAUCCAGUCUUUACCUUGGUUUAGAGUAAUGGUCCUCUUGCUUCAAGUGUUAAGUAAUAGAAGAAAGCGUGGCGCCACGUGACCACAAGGGAGAGAUCAUCUCCCACUACAACAAAUUUAUGAUUUAGCGGUAUUUAUUCCGCAGCAUUUAUUUAAAUAACGUUAAUUAAUAUAUUUAACAGCAUUACUUAAUAAGUGCUGCUAGAUUUAAUAAUUUAGCAGUAAUUUACUAUUAAUGUUACAAAAUAAGAUAAAUUAGCAGCAUAAAUUAGUGAAUGCCGCUGAAGUUUUCAGCAUUUUAUAAAAAAAAGACACUAAAUAUAAUAAAGUAGCAACACUUAUUGUUAAAUGCCGCGAUAUUUGCCCCGCAACAUUUAUUUAAAUCAUGCUAAUUAAUAUAUUUAACAGCAUUAGUUGAUAAUUGCCGCUAGAUUUAAUUAUUUAGCAGCAAUUUACUAUUAAUGUUGCAAAAUAGGAUAAAUUAGCAACGUAAAUUAGUGAAUGCUGCUAAAUAUAAUAAACUAGCAGCACUUGUUGCUAAAUAUCGUUACUAAUAAAUAUAUAAUUAUUAAUAUAUCCCUUUUUACUUAGAAUUAAAAAUUUUAAAAUUAAAGUUUAAAAUUCGAAACGUAUAAUUUAAAAAAUUAAACUUAUAAUUUAAAAUUUAAAAUUUUAAAAUUUAUAUUUUAAAUUUUAAACUCUAAAAUUUUUAAUACAAUUCAUAUUUUGCUGGGAACUAAAUUGGAAUUCAUUUUUCAUUCUAACUCACAAGAUCUAGUGAAAGUGCAUAUGGAUUUUAUAUGUAGAAUCGAGAUCACUGGGCGGUCCGCAGCUAGCGGUGGACCAGGUCCAAGAAGUAAUUUUUGAAUAGGGAUUGAGCAAAUUAAGUAUCUGGUCAAGUUGGUCAAGGCACAAUUCAGGUUUACUCUAACCAUAUAUAGAUAUUACAGGGACCACAUUAUGGUUCACUGACGUCCUAAAAAUGAAUGAUCGGAUCCUUCAAUUUAAGAUCAGGGUUAUUGAUCUUUAUCUAUAUAGUGAAUAGAAUUCUUUAUAAAAAAUUCAAUCGAUUUCAAUACUUUUACACCGUUAAACUAGCAAAUAUUCAAUACCGGCCGUUAAAAAUUGUUAAUUUCGAAAUCUUUUCAUCGUAAGAUAAAUGAUGCCAAAAAAUUAUAAAAUUUGAUUUCUAAAAGUUUUAAAUGCUCUAGAUAACAUUUAACGGUAUGUAUCGUCGAUUAGGAAGCACUAUCAUCGAAAACGAUUUAUAAGUACGAAAGCGAUCAUACUCAUAAGAGUAUAGUAUCCGAACUCUUGGAAAAAAUAUACUAGCUAUAAAUUGUUAAGGUAGUAGUAGUGUAUUAUUUGAAAGAAAAAUAAUUUCAGCAUGUGAAAUUAUUUAUCUCCCACACUAAUUUAGCAGGCCUAAUUAUAAUAUAUUGGAUUUGCAUCACAUGACAGCAGUGCUUAAUUAAACAUGUGGAUUUUACGUAAUUGCAUUGGAUUCGCAUGAUAUAGAUAUGCACCGCCUCAUGUACAGCAUGUGUUAAUGAGGGUGUUAAGCACAUAAUAAAUCGUGAUUUAUAUAUAAUGUGUAAAAAUGUCUCAACCUAGCAGCAUAAGCUCUUAUUAGGUUUGAACUCGAGCCUUUUAAUAUAUAUGAAUAUAUGAUCAUAAUUUGACACAUCAUCUGAUUGAUAAUCCAAUAUCAUUCUCCAUACCAAACCCCUUUAUAUGUAUACACACAUAUAUAUAUAUAUAUAUAUAUAUACACACACACACAUACUACCCCACAUCCAAGUCAUAGUUCCUAAAUUCGAUCCCUUCGAGGGGUCACACACUUCAUAUAUAGCAAAGACGUUUUCUCACGUAUGCUACCACUAACUCUCAUCUUCAAUAUUACAAAAAAAAACAAACACACUAUAUGAAGGAAUAUAUAAUAAUUCAAUAAUUAAUUAUCUCACGUUCAUGUGUAUGUAAAAAAAAUAUCCGAGAUAGAAACCAUAAGUAAGACGACACGUUGCAAAUUCCUGCAUAUGUUGUGAACUGGCCCGGAUACAACCUUUUUUCUUUUUUUUGGCACCAUUCCACAUGAUUCCCACUACUCUGACACAAACACACACACACACACACAUAUAUAUAUAUAUGACUACAAAUAUAGCAAUGGAUUAAACUUAACUUUUAAACCAUGCAUAUAUAGUUACAAACCUUGUUGUUGGAUAUAUAUAUUUAUAUAUGGUUGGGACCAUCUCCCGACUCCCAUACAGAUAUUAAUAUCAGAAACAUUACGUGUCCCUCUCUUCAACAUCCAUGCUCAUGCCAAUGUUUCAAGGGGUCCUACAUCCUCAAAAAGGGAGGUAAAAAUAGAAAAAGUGUAUUUAUAAAAAUAUUCUAUAGGAUGCAUCUCAUGUGGGACACGCCUCUUGAAAACCAUGCAUCAUUUGUUUUUGUAAUGUGCGCUUCAGCUAUAUAUAUGUGUGAUUUGAUUCACGACUGUAAUAUCUUGUAGAAAUUUUUGUCGAGGAAAAACUAUAAAGACUGGUUAUAAAUGGUUUAGGCUUGAACAUAUUGAAUAUUAAUAUUAAAAAUAUCAUUCUCUGGUAACUUAAAGUUUUAAAAAAUAACGAUUAUCUCAUUUUAUUUAACAUAGUGUAGAUAGGAGGUCUGAUAUAAUUGAUUUCUUUAAGCUCUUUUUUUUGGAUAUAUCGAAAAAUUUCAAGCCCAGACAUAAGAGAAAAUAUUGAAUAUAAAUAUUAAAGACACCGCAUAUAUAUGAAAAGUUUAAGAACUAGAAAUUUUAGCUGUACACAAACCUUUGUUUAAUUUCAAUCAACUACCUGAUCUAGCACAAACUUCAUCAAUGUAUUAUUACCUAAGCACUGUCAACACAUGGCUAUUAACAUAUGCCAAAAUCCCUUCAAAGUUCUUCACCCAUAUGAGAGGUUACUGCUUGAAUUUAAAAUGCCAGAUGACUAGCACGUACCCUCUUGAAUUAACUUGAUUACUAAUUAUCACUCAAACUUUACACUUGGGCACAUGCACCAAUAACCAAAGAACCAAGAUCAUGGAAAAAGAAGGAAAAUACUUGAGAUACUCCUAGUGGUAAGAAUUUAAAACAAAGUAUAUAUAUGUGAAUCCAGCAAGUGUAAUAUUAAUAGUAUGGAGGCCCUCAGGCUACCAAAUUAUUUUCGAUGAUGGGACUUUGAAUCGACGAUCGACCACAUUAGAUAUAAUAUAUCUUAUUGAAAGUAUCUAGAAACUAAUUUUUAUAAAUUUUAACAUUAUUCACCAUAGAACGAAUAUUCUCAAUAUGAAUGAUUGAAAAUAAAAAUCUUAUAUAAAAUAAUGAUAAAAAAUUUAAAAGUCAGAUCAAAGGUACUGAUCUUGCUUAAAUAGUGAAAAAAAAAUUUAUUAGAUUUGGAUUAUUCUACAUCGUCAAACUUAUGAAUGUAUUACAUCGGCCAUUAAAAUUAUUAAUUUUGAGACCUUUUGGUCAUGAGUCAAAUGAUAUCGAAAAAAAUAUGAAAUUUGGCUUCUAAAUACUUUCACUUAUAUCAUGCCUAACACAAUCGAUCAUUGAUUCGGAUGUUCCAUCAGUAAAAAAUAAUUUGAUAAUACGGAGGCCUCCGUGCUAUUAAUAGUACAUAAGCCAGACUCUGUAUAUAUGUAAUCAUGUAAAUGAAUUUUGGAGCUAAGAAGAUGAUGAAUUGGAUUGUUACAAUGAAUGUGGUCAACCGACGUUGCCACAUCCUGUGACACUAACCAAAUCUUUUACCUAGAAGAACCCUUGAGUUGUAGUAAGAGAGUUUGGUAAGCAAAACCCUACAUGCAUGUGAAAAUGGAGUUAGGCAUUGCUAUUAAUGCACAUAUGGAGCAAAUUCUAGAGAGAGAGAGGUACAGAAACCAAGUAGGAACUUCUAAAACUGGGUGAGGAUAAGAACUUCCACAAAGAAGCAAAAUCAAACCCUUCUUGCAACCUCAAGGGGGACCCCCUCAACUUUCCAUUUUGCUCUCCCCAACCCUCUCCCACCCUUGCAUUUGCUUCUACUUUCUGGUAUGUCCUUUUGCACCAAGACAAAACUAAUGUCGCUUGUUCAACGAAUGGAGUCCGAUAAAAAUCAAGUGUCCUAAUCGAUCAAAACCAACUUAAACUCACGAACAUCAGAAUGAUGAGUCAUCAGCGUGACAUGGGUCGGGGCGGCUUGAACCGACUAUAUAUGUUGGAGGUGAAAGAGUAUAUAUAUCAUGGCUACAUGCAUGAAUCUAGCUCCAUGCACAAAUAGAGCUCAUAAAAGUUGCUUGUGCAUUUGCUUUUAGAAAGCAAGCAAGCUUUUACACAUGCAAUCUUAUAGCACAAACUUCGCUGUCACGAUACCGAAUGUUGUAAUCUUAUUUAUUGGUUAAUUUGUAGCGUCAAUGUGCUUUUCACAUAACACUACAACAGAAUUAGGUUAUAGGGACACAUAUUUGGGACAUUUUUGAGUAAGUGUCCCAUUUAUGCUAAAACUUAAAAACACAUCUACUAAUGCCUAAAUAUAAAGCCCAAUCUAAUUAAAAAUAAAAGAUUACUCUACUCAACCCACCACACCCAGUCCAUUUGACCCGAUUACAAACAGAAAAGAAAAAAAGAAAGAAAAAUCAAUUACCAUCUUUUCUUCUCUCUUCACUCAAUCCACUGAAAUUCUAGACGAAGAGCCUUUACUGUCAUCCUCUUCCGCCACCGCAGCCAACGAGAUAGAGUUUCGGCGGUUGCUAAAUGCUUAAAUAAGUGUUGGUAAAUUAGCAGCACUUUUUAGGUUAUAGCGACACUCUUUAACUGUCACUAUAUACCUAGCGACCCCACAUAUAGCAACACUUUUUAAAAGUGUCGGUAAUUUUAGCUAGCAGCACUUUUUUGACAUGUACCUACAUUUAAAAGUGUCGCUAUAGACCGUUUUUGUUGUAGUGUAAGUUCUAAGUUAGGAGAGUUAUAGUAAACCAACAAUAUAAGUUUCAAGGACUUGCUUGUAAAGCUUUAUUUACUGGCGUAAUCUCACUAUUGUGGGCUAACCUAGGCUAGUUAAGAAUUGUGCAUAUAGGGGAGCUCCCUAUAUAUAUAUAUAUAUAUAUAUAUAUAUAUAUAGAGCUAGGCUCCUAUGCUUUCGAAAGUACAGAAGCCUCCGUACUUAAAAGUUGUUUUCAAUAAUGGGACAUCCGAUUCAGUGAUCGGUUCCGUUAGACAUGAUCUACGCUAUUGGAACUACCUAGAAACCAAAUUUCAUAAUUUUUUUACUUUGUUUGUCUAGUAAACGAGUAGCCUCAAAAUGAACGGCUGAAAAUAAAAAUCUUAUAAAAAACAGUGAUAAAGGACUCAAAUUUCAAAUCGGAAGUAUUGGUCUUUCUAUUGAUAUUAAGUAGAAUUUUCUAUUAAAUUUUCAUCUAAUUUGGAUACUUCUACACCGUUGAACUUAAAAACGUGCCACAUCGGCCGUUAAAAUAGUCAUUUUUGAGAUUUUUCGAUCGCUUGGUAAAUGAUGUCAAAAAAUUAUAAAAUUUGGUUUCUAAAUAGUUCCAAUAGGGUAGAUUAUACUUAACGGAACCGAUCGUCGAAUCGGAUUUCCUAUCAUCGAAAACAACUUACAAGUACGGAGGUCUCCGUACUUUCGAAAGUACAGAAGACUUACUCUAUAUAUAUAUAUAUAUAUAUAUAUAUAUAUAUGGAUUGAUAAUGAAUAAAGCGAUGCUAUAAACUAGGCUGCUUGAGUUUUAUCUAUUAGCAACCUACACAGAAUUAGUUAUAGCGACACAGUUUGAGACAUUUUCAGUAAUGUCCCCAUUUAUGCUAAAACUUAAAAACACAUCUACUAAUGCCUAAAUAUAAAGCCCAAUCCAACCAAAAAUAAAAGAUUACUCUACUCAACCCACUACACCCAGUCCAUUUGGCCCGAUUACAAACAGAAAAGAAAAAAAAAAGAAAAAUCAAUUACCUUCUUUUCUUCUCUCUUCACUCAAUUCACUGAAAUUCUAGACGAAGAGUCUUUACUGUUGUCCUCCUACGCCACCGCAGCCAACAAGAUAGAGUUUCGGCGAUUGCUAAAUACUUAAAUAAGUAUUGAUAAAUUAGCAGCACUCUUUUAGGUUAUAGCGACACUCUUUAACUGUCACUAUAUACCUAGCGACCCCACAUAUAGCAACACUUUUUAAAAAUGUCGGUAAUUUUAGCUAGCAGCACUUUUUUAACAUGUACCUAUAUUUAAAAGUAUCGCUAUAGACCGUUUUUGUUGUAGUGUAGUAAAUAAAUUCUUUUUUGGCAAAAGAUGUAACAUUAAUAGUAUAAUUUAGGAAAGUAGAUUUAAGAAGUGAUUAGCUAUGCUAGCUUUAGAUGAGGUUUGGCCAAUUCAGGAGUGUAACCAAGUUUUUUCUUAUGGCAUGAUUAAGAUAACAAAAAAUCUAUCUAAGUUUGGAAAGUGAUUUGACCAUAUCAUUAUGGUUUAAUUGUCUAAAACUGGAAAAUAAAAUAAAAUAAAAGUUGUUGAGUUUCACUUAGAAAAGAAGGUUUCUCCUAAGUGCCAAUUAUUGUGCCAUUGCAACUUUUCUACUCGACAAGCAAAAAAACAAGUACAAUUAGCCAAACAUAAUAUUCAAAGUUUUAUGCAGUAUUGAGAAAUUGAGAUGAGUUUCGGUUUAACAAUGCACGUUUUGUGCUCAAACUUUAAGUUUAAUUAAAUACCUUAGUUAUUAACUGUUACUACUACUAAAUGAUAAUUUAUUAUAUGUAGCAGUGUAUCCAUAAAUUUGUACUCAUAAAUCCAUCAAUACGUUAUCAAAUUCUCAUGAGUGUUUUUAUCCACCUCAUAGUUUCUUUGCAAUGAUCCAAUUUUUAUAUAGAAAAAAAGUUCGUAACUCAGUGGAUGGUCAAGUUGAAAUAUAAGAUGGAAAAUGAGUCAGAUGUAAUAAAGCUAUUUUAAGAGUGUAGACACUACCGACUGUCCAUAACGCAAGUGGCAAAAAACUUGAUGGUUGAUACCCGAGGUCUCAAGUUCGAAUCCUAGUUGAUUCGCAUUUCUAGCUAAGUUUAUUUCUAAAUGAAAUAAACGAAGCGGGUAGCAUACUACCUAUCUCUCUCAAAAAAAGAAAAAGAGUGUAGAGACUGCCAAUAUUGGUCUUAAAAUGUGUGAGGAUCAAUGUAAAACUCGACUAAAAGUUGGAGGACUAUUAGUACAAUUUAACCAAACAAUUUAGAGUAAUAUUACUGGUAUACCCAAAGCGGGUGUACAUCUUAUACUCACUUCAUUCAAAAGCCAUUAAUUCUCUACUUGUCAUAUCAAUCUUUUUUUAAUUUUUUUAUUAAAAAUUAUUUGAAUUUUGUGAAUCUUAAAAUAAAAAGUGUACACUACAACAAAAAUGGUCUAUAUAUAGCGACACUUUUAAAUAUCGGUAUAGGUCAAACAAAGUGCCGCUGGCUAAAUUACCGACACUUUUAAAAAAUAUUGCUAUAUGUCGGGUCACUAGGUAUAUAGUGAUAGUUAAAAAGUGUCGCUAUAAUCUAAAAAGAGUGCUGCUAAUUUACCAAUACUUAUUUAAGCAUUUAGCAACCGCCGGAGCUCUAUCUCGUUGGCUGCGGUGGCGGAGGAGGACGAGAGGGAAGUCCUCUUCGUCUAGGAUUUUUUUAAAAGUUUUGGUAUAAAUAAAAUACUUACAUAAAAGUAUCUCAAAUAUGUGUACCUAUAAUCUAAUUCUGUUAUAAUGGUAACAUCUGCGCUCGCUUUUAAAAUGUACAAAUAGAAUUUCUCAACAAUUUAUCCAUACAAGUUGUUAAAAAGUAGUUAGCUCUACGUGCAAAUCAUUCACACUGACAUGGUCAAACUGUGCCCCGACCCAAAAAAGCAGGCCAGGUAAAAGCAGAAGCAAAAGCCAACGAGAGUGACUUCCCCAUCCGCAGUACUACAACAAAAAGUCAAAUCUUGGGACCCCUCAAUCACCACCCUCGAGUGGGAGGAGAACCACCAAUACUAUUGAGUGCAUGAAAUGAAAAUUUAUUGCACGCAUGCGCCUGUUGUUUCUGCAUUUUCCAUGCAUCGCACAUUAUAGAUGAUAAGAGCCUGAACAAUAGUCCUCUCUUGAUUCACCUACUUAGUCUCUGCGAAGUUUUAAUCGUGUUGCCUAAUCUUUCGACAUCUUUGAUUUCGGCUAUCUGAAUGCUUAUUUUAAUAAAAAUUAUACAAAAAAACUCAAAUCAGACCUAUCGAUAUAAAACAUGCAUGCAAAAAAUAAGAUAAAAUGUGUAGAAAUUUAAAAUAAAUCAUAGUUUAGAUUUGUUCUAAACAUUCGUACCUACCUAUGCAAAUGAAUAUUCUAAUAAAAGUUAAAAUGAUUUAUAAUAAACAGUACUGAUUUUGGAAUAUUUGAGGUGUUAGGAGUAGGGAAUAUAUUUAUACACCGGGUGCAGGGAACACUGGGCGGAUGGCGACUGGGACGCGCGAGAGGGGUUUGGAGUGCCCAGUGGUCGACGCGUGGACGAACAGGGCCUACGGGGCCCCUCAUGGGAGCUCGUAUUCGGUCGACACGUGUCGUGAUCGUUUUGUGCGCCCCAUGUGCCCCCACCCGUCCCCAAGUUUAUCCUAUUCUCUCCACCCCCUCCUUGUCCAGUCAUGCAUAUGUCUCUCUCUCUCUCUCUCUACUAUUUUCUCUCUCUACCACUUUCUCUCUCUACCGAUUCCCAAUAUUGGGACCAAAGCUGGGGGUGUUUUAGGGCUUGAGUAAUGUCUAAAAUAAGAUAAUUUUUAACAAAAAUUUGGACCAGAAAAAGCUUUUUAAGUGUUUUGUUUUGUUUUUUUUUUCAAAAAUAUCGUUGAAAAGUGAAAAUUUACUUAAAUAAAAUGAGAUAAUACAGAAAUGAAAAAGUCCUCCAAAAAAAACUACACAGUACAUUUUUUGCUAGACAGAUCCUAAUUGGCUGGUUGAUCAGCUUACAUAGCAUUUCCGAAGAAGCGAGAAUUCCAUCCAAAAUAGAAGGCGUGACAUUCGUCGACGAAGGACUGAAGCGUGUUGAGCUUCAUUCUAUCGUCCGAAGUGAACGACUCGGAUUAGUCCGAUCUGAAGCUUCUUAAGUGUUUUGUUAGUCAAAAUGAUUUCUAAUCUUUCUGUUGACACAUUUUGUGUAGAGUUGAAUUUUGUAGAGGUUGAAAGCAAUUUUUUUUUCUCCCUUUCCUCACUCUCUCCUUCUAUUUUCUUGAACCUUUUUGAAAUAAAAGAUUUUUAAGUUGAAAGAGAGAGAAAAAGGUAGCAAGAUAUUCGGUUCGUUCACAGCUAGAGAUGUAAGACAAAUAAGGUUCAAACCGGAGAUCUUGGAUACGAUUCAUUAAGUUUUUAGCUAACUGUGUUAAAAAAGGUCGAUAUUAUCUUAUAUUUAAUAUAUAAAUUAAUUAGUGUAAUACUGAAGUAACUAUACACAUCAGUAAAUAUCAUAGUGACCUAUAAGGGUGCCCAAAGCAUUAAUUAUUAGGGUUAGAGUUGGAAAAAGUUUGGUAUUUGCUUUCUUGGGCAUAUACAGCAAGGUUAAGUCUAUGGGAGACUUAAAUUUAUUUGCUUGAAUAUUAUAUCUUUUCAAUUCCUACCUCCAAAUUCUAUAUAGUUGAAAUCUCAGCAUCAAAUCUAGAUUAAUAACUAUUAAGAAAUCAAGAUUGUUACCGACCGUUCCUAGAGUAAGUGACAAAGGACUUGGUGAUUGGUAUCCGAGACCUAAGUUCGAAUCCUAAUUGAUUCACAUUUCCAGCUAAGUUUAUUUCUAAAUGAAAUAAACGAAGCGGGUAGCGUGCUACCUAUCUCUCAAAAAAAAAAAAAAGAAAAAAAAAAGAAAAGAAUCAAGAUUAUUUUCACCCGUCUUAAUUCGUUGUGCCUACAUCAUAUGCAAUAAAAAAAGAUUUGUACUCGAGACCUCGAACUCUGAUGUUACUUUAACUGAUAACAUCUUAUAUUUGGUUCUAGGUUUAUCGAACUUGAUCAAUGACCAAAUGAAAAUUUGUCUAAUCAUCUACAAAUUAAGACAUUCUUAGUUAGAUUUUCCACAUUAAUUUAGAGAGCAAACUCUGUUGCAAACCUUAAUUAUCUGCAUGCUAAAAUCAGACGCGGUUAAUGUAAUUUAAGAACUAAACUUAGACCAUCAUGCAAAAGAAAUUAAUUAAUGCUAUCGAUCUCAAAACGCUAUUCCUUUUAAGCAAGUAUAUUGUGAUAAUGAUAUGUAAAUUAAGCCUAAGUUAAAUAACACACAUGCAACACACAUUACGUAUGUACAUGAACAUAUAUAUUAAAUAAUGAAAAAAAAUAUGGGAAAAAUCUAAUAAGUAAUCACUUCAAAUAGGAGGGAGUUUAUAAGUGCACGGCACUUAGUCGACCAUGCUCGUUACUGCAUAUAGUAAUAUUGAAAUGGGGGUGUUUCCCAUGUUGUCCUUUUGUGUGGGGGCAUUAUGGGAAGAUCACUUCUUAUAUUAUUAUUAUUAUUUAGGUAAAGAUGCAUGGAGAAGCCCUCAAUUAAUUAUAUGCAAUUUUGGAAAAAAAAAAAAAAACAUUAGGUCUUGUUUGGCACAGUAUUUAUUUUUAAUUUUUAUAAAAUAAAAUAUUAUACAGUAGAUUAAUUACAAUUAUUUUAUCCAAGUUAUUUAUUUGGUAACGAAAAGUAAAAAAUUUGAAAGCAACUAUAUUUUUACUUAUUGAAUUUUUCUAAAAUAAAUAAUUAUCAUAUAUUACUAAGCCGUAUAUAUUAUAAACUAGCCAAUAAAAAAAUUUUCUUCCAACAUAUUAAAUUAUAGAGGAUUAGUAUUAAAAAAAGUAAAAAAUAAACGUGAUACCAAACAAGGCAUUAACUUUAAUUUAUUUAUUUACUUCUAUUGAGAUCCAAAUCAAAUUUCAAUUUUUCUUUGAAUUUAGUAAUUUUGGUAAAAUAAAUUGGAGAUUGUAUUAAAUCUAUCUAUGAUUACAUCAAAUUUGACAAUUUUAAGUAUUUAAUAACUAAAAUUAGAAUAAUUAAUGAUUGAUAGUUGACAAAGCAUUAAAUUUAACAGAUUUUUAGUUGAAGUGACAAGAUUCAUUCAAUUUUUAAACAUUAAAAAUUUAAAGGGGUCUCGACAAAAAAGUUAAAGUUGAGGGUCUAUUUCACAAUUGCCCAUAGCCAAAGGGAUUUGCAAACAUAUUUAAUUCCCUUAAUUUUUAGAUUAAAUGCACUAUUGGUCUCCAAAUUUUAUUUGAUUUUUCUUUAUGAUUUCCAACUUUUUAUUUGCAUUUAGAUUCGUAAAUUUUAAAAUUUAUUCUAACGCUAGCUGGUCCCUAACCUUUUAUCUAUUUUUUUAUUUAUUUUGAUCUGAACCUUUUCUUUUAUAUCCAUGUCCAUCACAUCAGGUCUAAUCUCACUAUCUAUAAUGUUGUUCCCACAUGCCUACUGUCACUUUGACCUCGCUAGUGAUGCAUACUAUCUAUUUUGAAGCAUUCGAUAUUUUAGACAUCGAACUGAGUAUACCACCGACUUGUUCAAAAACUUUAAUAAAAUUCAGUCCUGAAGUCGACCGACGACUGCAGAAUUAUAACUGGGUCGUCUACACAGAGUAGGCAUGACUUUAUCUAAGCUAACGCUGCCUAUUUGGUCAAAAUUAAUCAAAAUCUUAAUUGUUGGAAAUCAAAUUGAAAUAAAAUUUUAAAAUAAAAGAUUUAACAGCCAAAAAAAAUCCUCAAUUUUUAUAAAGCUGGCUCAAGCCGAGCUGUAUUCGAGCCGAGCCGAGCCGAGCCGGGAAAGAAGGAGUGCACGAGGGUGAACAGCGGUGUGUCCGUACGACGUCGUUUAAGGUGGGGGUGAGUUGGGAUCCGGGCCCGUUUUGGGAAUUUUUUAAAAAAAUGCAGUAAAAUAAAUUAUUUUGUUUUUGUAAAUUAACAAUUUUAUUUAUUUAUUUAUUUAUUUAAUUUAUUUUGCACUAUGCUCCAAUAGAAACAGUGGUUUACAGCUUGGCAGUGCCUUAAAAAGAGGAGUGGCAAAUUUUCCAGAAUAAAAAUUAUUGUGUGGACCGUCUCCUGUGGACCAUUUUUACUUUUUUUUUUUAUCGUAAAAAAGUUUGUAAAUGGAGACACAAAAACUCUUAUCAGAUAUAAAUAAAAAUCAUAACACUUUCAAAUUUUUUUUUAUUAAGAUUUUAAAAACUCGAAAAAGAUUAAUCAUCAAAAUAGCUGUUCUCUGUUGUAUAAAAAAUACUAAAUAUCAUAAAUCUUAACGCAGAACCUCGAUUUUGUAAAUUAUAUCUAUAUUUAGAUUUAAGGCAGCAAGAUUACAAUUCAUUAAGUAAUUUUCUACAGACCCUUUGCAUUGCAACAUAAUAUUUAAAAUUUAUUGCCUAUGCAAAUGAGUAGUCCUAAAAAUUACUCUAUUAUUUGUUGAAUAAUAUAAGAUUAAAACAUAUUAAAAUUAUAUAUAUAUAUAUAUAUAUAUAUAUAUUACUAUAAAACACUAAAUCAUUUCUAUACAAUUCGCUUUUAGAUUUUUAAGGUACUUAGCACAGAGUAUUAUAGACAGAAAAUAAUUUAGUUUCUACAGAAGAUUUUUAUUAUGUUAUUCAUGCAUCGGCAAACCUAGAAAAAAUUUUUAAACUGCAUAUACAAAUUAACUAAUUUAAAGGCUCAUCGUACAUGAUAACAAUUACAACAAAUAAAGAGCAACAUUUAAAGAGAUUAGUAAGAUUAAGUUUUGAACUAAGUUUGAGGUUGCAGUGUAUAAACACAUCCACUUUUACGCUUUGAAAGUGCCGAAGAAUUUAAAAAAAACUCCAAAAAUAAAAGGAAAAAAAAAGGACUUCAAAGUAUUUUCAAAUUUUUAUUUUCUAAAAUAUAUAAUAAAUAAAAACCGCGGUCCAUGUGAUUUGUUCUUCUUUUUUUUUUUUUUUUUUUCUCUAACCCUGGUUAGUGCUGCAACUAGUUGCUUAACAAUUAAUACAAAAUUAUUAUAAUUUUUCCCUUUUUCCCAAAAUGCCCCUGCGGUCCCCAUUCGCCUUUACACGGAAAGCGCCACCUCUCGCGACACGUGUCGGUUCCUGGUCCCCCCUCACCCAAAAAGAGCAGCAUAAAUUUGUACCGAGGGCAUUUUGGUCAUUUCACGUUAGUAUUCACAUAGUAUACAUCUGGUGGUAAAAGAAGUGAGUGAACUGCACUUUUGGUCCCCAACCUAUAAGUUGUGUAAAAUUCUAAUUCUUAAAUUUUAAUUUAUUAUAAUUUUGAGAUUAAAUUUUUGUAAUUGUUGUAAUCAAGUUUUACAAUUCGAUUUAGUUGGCUAAUUAUCGAUAAAUUGUUGGUGUAGAAGUUGACACUAAUUUAUAUUACUUCUACGUUACUGAUUUGUCAAUAUUUAACCAUCUAAAUUGGUUUGUAGGAUUUGAUUGCAAUAAUUAAAAAAGUUCGAGAUAGAAAUUAUGAUAAAUUAAAAUUUGAAAAACUUAAAGUGUCAUGCCAUGCGCCUCGUAAUUUGAGGACCAAAAUUAUAAUUUACCAUAAAGAAAAGUAUGGUUUGUUACAAUUUUUUAUUAGAAUUUUGUGAAUUAUUGUAAUCAAAUCUCAUAAUAUAAUUUAUUUGACUAAAUAUUGCUUUACUACUUAUGUUGAGAUGAUAUAACAAUUUAAUUAGUGUUGCGUUACAUUACUCACAACAUUGCUACAUCGCUUUCAUAUUAAUAGCAUAUACAUAUUUAGUGAACUAAAAUAGAUUGUACAAACUGAUUAUGAUAAUUCAGAAAGCUCCAACAAGAAAUUAAAAUAAAUUAAAAUGUGAGAACUAAAUUUUACUCGUGCUUUAUAGGUUGAGAACCAACAAUAUAAUUUGACCAAAAAUAUGUACGCAAAUUAGAUAUAAAUAAUUAGAAUUGAAUAGUGAUUAUUAAAAGUAAUUAAAUAACAUAAAUCUAAUACUACUGAAAAAAAAAAAAAAAGUGACUAUAAAAAUAAAAUAAUAAAUGGUGUUUAAAUUUAUAGAGAAAAACAAUAGUAAGUGUCCCCCCCACCCCCAAACCACAACCACCAAAAAAAAAAAAAAAAAAAAAAAAAAAAAAAAAAAAAAAAAAAAAAAAAAAAAAAAAACGAAAUACAUAUUUUAAAGUGGCAUUUCAGCUAUUUCUACCCAUUUCCGAGGGCAUUUUCGUCCAUCAACCCUUCUACUCCCUUAUAAAUGUAAGGGGAUUUCCACCAAGUCAUCUUGAAGCACUUAGCAGUAGCCGACCUUUUCUCUCUCUCUCUCUCUCUCUCUCUCUCUCUCUCUCUCUCUACAAUCCUCUUCUUGAAAUCAAAACAAAACCAAAAAAAAAAAAGAAAAAGAAAGGCUUUUCUCUCUCUCUUCAACUCUAGAGAUAGAUAGAGAGAGAGAGAGAGAGAGAGAGAGAGAGAGAGAUUUAUGCUACAUAUAUGUAGCAGCUAUAGAGAGAUUUGGCCUAAGAGGAAGUAGAGAGAGAUAGAGAGAGAGAGAAAAUGAGUGAGGUUGGCAUGAGCCAAGGAGAUGAGGAGGAGUUACUCUUCUCCUCCGCAGCUUACAUAUCCAGCAACCACAGCAGCUUCUACUCCCUUCCUCCCAGUGGUUGUGGUUCGUACAUACACACUCCAAUUAAUUUCAAUUUCAAUUUCAAUUUCAAUUUCAAUCUCUUUCUACUAUAUAUAUAUAGAUAUGUAUAUAACGUUACGACGUACGUACGUACGUGCAUGUUAAAGAUCAGUAGUUGUUACUUACGUUCGACGUGCAUGUAUGUAUGUGUAUAUGUAUAUGGACGACGUACUACGUACAGGGGAGACGAGGAGGAGGACGCGGCGCAGGCGGAAGCGGGCGAGGGGCGAGGGGUCGGGGGAGGCGUCGAAGAAGCGGCGGCUGAACGACGAGCAGGUGAAGUUCCUGGAGCUGAGCUUCGGGGAGGAGCGCAAGCUGGAGACGGGCCGCAAGGUGCAGCUGGCGGCCGAGCUGGGCCUCGACCCCAAGCAGGUCGCCGUCUGGUUCCAGAACCGCCGGGCGCGCCACAAGACCAAGCAGAUCGAGGACGAGUACUCCAAGCUCAAGUCUGCCCACGACGCCGCCGUCCUCCACAAAUGCCAUCUCGAGAACGAGGUACUCGCGUCUGCCUGCCUGCCUGCCUGCCUGCCCACAAUUCAUCAUAUUAACACUAAUACAACCGACCGUCCCUUGAGCGCGCAAGUAGUAAAGGGCUUGGUGGCUGGUAUUCGAGACCCAAGUUCGAAUUCUAGUUGAUUCACAUUUCCAGCUAAGUUUAUUUUCAAAUGAAAUAAACGAAGUAGGUAGCGUGCUACCUCACUCUCAGAAAAAAANUCUUAUUAAUGUUUUUUUCACUAAAAAUUAAAAAGAGUUGUUUAUACCCGUAAACCAUUGAAUUAAGGAUUGUAAUGAUUACAACCAUUUUGAGUUGUACACUUAAUAUUUCACCAUAAAUAAAUGUACUUGAAAAUUAAAAGUUAAGGUAAUUUACUAAAUUAAAUAUACGAAACAGAUAGCAUGCUACCUAUCUCUUAAAAAAAAAAAAACAUUAAUACAACAUUAAUAAUUGCAGCUUAAUUAAGCUUUAAUUUAUUUGAGAAAAUCAAAUUAAUUAUUAUACUUGUUAUAAUGGGCCGGAGCAGGUAUUGAAGCUCAAGGAAAGGCUAUCGGAAGCCGAAGCGGAGAUCAGGAAGCUCACGGCCGGCAUCACCGGAGCUUCGGGGGGCGGCGGCGGGGGUGGCGGAGGAAGUAGUAGUCCGAGCUCAUCCUUCUCCACAGUCACACACCGGCCUUUGGUUAAUGGAGAAUUUGGGGUGGAGGGAGAAACUGAUUUUAUGUACAUAUAUAAUGAUUACACCUACAAUAACUACAUGAUGGAUUUGGUUGGUCUCUAUGGGAUGUAGAGUUUAGUGGGGUUUUUAUUUUUAUUAUUAUUAUUAUUAUGAUUAAUGUGAUUAUUGUUGAUGUAAAAUUUGUUGGUAUGUUCUCCCCCUGCUGCUGCUGCUGCUGCUGCUGCUGCUGCAGUAGUGCUAACUAAGAGCAGAGGUAGUAUUGUACGUAGUGGGAGGUAUAUUUACCCACCCUUGUAAUUGUACACAGUAGGGUGUUGUAAGAUAUUUUUGUUCGCUCUAAUAAGGUUUCAUUAGUACUUAUUAUUACUGUUCCUCUAUUUCCUUAACAUGGGUUACAGCUCUACAACAAAGGAUUUGAGCAAAAGUAGCAGUAAUUAACCUGAAUAUUUUCUCCGCUAUCAUACUCUCCGCAUAUUGGCCAACAUAAACAUAGGAUGAUCUAUCUAUCAUUGUUCUCUUUAUACCCUUAUCACAAGUUAAGAUAAAUAAUGAGUGAGAGGUCUCAAGAGAAUUAAUUGUACCCUUCUUAGUUUUCAUCUGAUAAAAUUGCACUAGUCCUCAGAAAGAAACUUUUUAGCGCAGUUUCAGAUUGCUCCUAAAUCUUUAAACUGUCCCGAUGUUUCCAUCAUCUGAUUCAACAAAAAUAUCGCCGUAAUCGCCUGUCUAACAACCACACAAAAAACUUUUGGAGUUUCUUUAUAUGUGGGUGUUCCAAUCCAGUUUAAUGAAAGAAUCUGAUGGACAAGAAUAAUACUGCAUUAAUUAAAUGCAAAUAUUAGGAGCCCAACCCCACUAAAAGCGUGGGGACCCUCUGUGCAACAACGCAGUAGGAUAAUGCCAUGAUUUGAUGAAGCUAAGAGGUUGAAUUAAUAGAUGAAAGAGACCAUCAGACAAUGCUUUUGUGCCUGGUUUGGAUGUAAAGGUGUUUUACUGACCAUGUCUUUUCGAUUUACUCUACAAGCAUGCAAUGUAUAGUACAUUAGGAGUUUAUUAAAUGUCCAAAAUAGCUAUCAUAUUCCGCUUUUAAAUCAUUCACACGGAUUACAAUAAAUCACACUGUAGGUAAAAUAUACUAUCUACUGAGCCUUCGUUUGAAUGUCAGAAUAAGUUAUCCUUGAAUAACUUAUUCUGUAUAAAAUUUCUUUUAGUACGGUUCUAAGUAACGAGCAUUUUAAAUAUUUGAUCAUACUAGUUAUCAAUCAAAUUUAUAAACUUUUUUCAAUAAAUUAAGAAAAUAUACAAACAAGAUAUUCAAGAAUCCAAAUGGGGACUAAGUCAUGGAUCUCAAGACCCUUUAAAAAGCAAAAAGUAACUCCUAAAAAACAAAAAAAAAAUUAUAUCUAAUAAGUUAUUGUUGGAUAAGUUAUUCCGACCUUCUAAGCAUUAUUCUAAAAGAGAUUAGUGGAAAGCCCAUAUGCUAUUUUAUUCUAGACAUUUCACCGCACUCGAUGAUUUUUAACUACAGUAGAAAAUUCUUCUACCGAACAAAAUUAAUAUCAUUCCAUUUUAUUCUAGACAUUUCACCAUACUUAAUAACUUUUAAUCAUCACAACAAAAAAAUUUUUAUACCGGACAAAGUACCGUUAGAUAACUUAUUCCGACAUUAAAAUCGACGUUCAAAGAAGGCUUCAACACUCUCCAUGGGAUAAAUAAUAGAGAAGUCAAAGACAUUUUUUAGAUGGGCAAAAAAAAAAUCUUUGUAUGUUUUUUUUUGAAAAAAAAUUCCAACAUAUGACAAACCUAAAGUGUCCAUUGGGGAUGCCACGUGUGUCACAACCCUACUUGUGCUUUAUUUCUAGCAUGCUUUCACUUCCCCUCCAAAGAUUAGUCCCUUUCCUAUUACCCUAUUAUUGUCCAUUUAUCUUCACCCCUAUAACUCAAAUCACUUCAGAGGUGUACUAAGAUGCCAAAUGUUGGAAACACCAAAAGUUCCAAGCUUUUCACGCUUUGGAAAGCAUGGGGCCUGAACCUUAUCCAGUGCUUCUUGUUGCGGACAAAGCAGAAGCGGAUUAAGUGACUUCCAAAACAACUUUUCAAGUAAGUUCUUUCGCAAACAAGAACGAGUAAACAGAAGUUCCGAAAUAAACCUUCUACUUUUGCCCCAGAAGCUUAUCCAACCCGAAGACUCUCGGUCCGAGAACAGUAAUGUAUAUCAACACAUUUGAUUCCUUUGAUAUUAUUCUAUAUAGAACUGUUUUCGCGGCUACACCGCUCAUGAAUUUUCAACAUUACAAACGUUUUUCAAACCAAUUAAACAAAGAAGCAAGAUGAUGGACUCCAGCUCACUAAUUCAGCAGAUCAGAGGAUAAUAAAUUAUCUAAUAGAGUUGAAAGGAUAUAAUAUUGUACGACACGAGACAAUUUUUUACUUGUACGAAAGUGUACAAAAAGAAAAAAUAAAUGGGCGACGUGUAGCAAAGAGAUCAUACAAGGAAUCUCUUAGCCACAACUACCUCAGGACGAUAAAAAAAUUCAGUUGAUCAGGGACAUACAGGGCCCUACAACAGCUAAGACAAUAUUCCAAAGUUGAUUGCACCAUUGUGCACAACUAUAUCGAUACAAGAAAAAAAAGCUCAUCAAGCAUUUGGUAUCUCAGAGAACAACCAUUUAAUUCAACACUCAGAUGCAGCAGCAUGAAUACAGAGCGAAAAAAGAAAAAACAAAGCCACUUCCCAUUUCAGCCACCUGAACAAAAUUAUACAACAAACAAGUAUCUUGGCAUGGGGCAUCAAAAAAGAGCAUAACCUAGAGUACAUUCAUUCUUAACCAAAUUCAUUUUGGAGGGGUGAAAAAGAUACCUAAAUCCGCUUUUGCUUUUGCAGACACGAUUGAUAGGAUACAGGGACUCUAUUGCUCCUUCAAAGGGCUAGUAUUGGAUCUUCUCAACUCCCAUGGUGGAAGGCACCCAUUUAAAGGAAACGACAGGAAGAGGGAGGACGACGACAAGUGCCUCUGACGCAUGGAGAAUGAAGACAAGCAACUUAGAGCACUUGUUAGCCUCAUUUUCUCGCCGUCUUCGGCUUGGUAAUCCGGAUCAUGACGAACCGCAUUAAUCUUAAGGGCCUCGGGAAGAAGGCAGUUGCAAACAGCACCUGAGGGGAAAGAGAUCGAAGAACAUGUUCUAUCAUGUCAUAUUUACUAACUUAAGACUAUGCUAGUGAGCAAAGUUAAAAAUACACUAAACACAGGAGGGAGACAUAAUUGUAAACAAUAACAAGGGUAGAUAACACUGAUUUCCCAUGGCAAUCCAAUUAAAAUAUAGACCAAUUACAUAUGUCGGUUUUUGUUUGGCCAAGGCAAGAAUAAAAAAAUGUGUAUGACAAUGAUAGCUCCAGCAACAAUAACAACAAAGUUUUAGUUCCAUUGACUAUACUAAGCUUUAGUCCCGGCAGUUUAAAAACAGAGCUGUUUGCAGAAUUUUCAUUUUUCCAGGACUCCGAAAAUCUGUUCCAGAUUCAAGAAUGUGACUGAGUUUCCAUGAUCUGUGGUGGAAACUGUAGAAGUCUAGACUUCUCAAUCCCUUGAGGUUCCUUUUUUGAUGUGUUAAUAAUAGAUGUUAGUGCAAUAUGUUCCUCUCUUGAUAAAACUUUGGACAAAUCCGUCUUUUCCUUGAUAAAGAAAAACAAGUUAUCUGUUUGUUGUUGACAUUUCAUUUCUACUUUCCAAACCAAUCCUAUAAGCAAAUCUAACUUGUUAGUAACAACAUUGCACCAAAUAGAUUCAAAAUAGAAAAUAUAUCAUCUUGCAGUGAUCCACUUAUAUCCUUAAAACAAUGUGACCAUGAAAUCUUAUAAAGUUCCACCUGAAUUUUAGCUCAUCCACCACAUUCUGCAACAUAAGUAGCAAAAGUGCGAAUAUUGAUCACUACAUUGUAAAGUCACUAUCAAAUUUCACUCGUCCAAGGUCAUGCAAAGUGCCUAGUGUGGUCUCCUUGGUGCUUAUGUGUCCUAGGCAUCAAGCUUUUUAGCAACUUGUGUAGACUAGGUGCCUAGAAGAAUGAGAGACCAUCUGAAAAACCAUUUAUCCACCAUAUUCAGCAGGCUACGCACUUAAUAGAUGACUAGCUAAUAUUUCACUUAGAAGAUAAGUCUUUUUUUUAACAAUAUUUUACUUGUUCUUUUUUUUUGGAAAAAAAGAUAAAAUAUUAGGAUAAGAUAUGAUCAAUAAAAUGAGAUCUCUCUUUGCACUAAUAUUUGUUAUAAAAUGAGUAUUUUUGGUUUUUAUUGUUCCACAAGUUUCAUUCAACAUAAAUGACACCACAAUUCUGAAGUCCUCCAGUAACUGUACAAACAUACAAAAAUCUGUUAGGUCAUGUUUCAUGUUGGACAUAUAGUCAUAGUAUCGAGUCCAAACUACCUAAUAAUUUCUUUAGAAAAAGAACUCUGAUGAGAUCAAAACUUCCUCACAUUUGUAGUUUAAGAGAGACUCUCUACAUACUAUCAAAAUAUAUAGAUGAAACCAUGUGAUAAAUUACCUAAUAAUAUAAAAGUUGACCCACACUCCCAUUUGUUACAUCCAAAAACUUGUUUUGACCGAAAUGGAUUAUUUGACUUGCUAAUUGGACCCAAAUGAGUCAAUUAUGAAUUUGACCCUUCAUAGACAAACUGACACAGUUUUAAAAACAAUUGGACAACGUGUUCUAAUCUUAUCUAAUCUUAACAUAAAUCAGCAUUACAUGAUUUGGAGUUAGCAGACUACUUGACUACUUGGGAAAAUCAUCCAAUUAUCUUUUUAAACCUCCCUCCACUUCAACAGGCACCGUGAGCUUGUACAUUCUCUUCCUGCUCUCUUGUUCUUCUAGAUUCUUGUUCUCUUCUCCUACUUAUUUGCUAUGUGCAGAUGUUGAAUAAACCAUUUCAUGCCAAGCGGGAUCACGUUGAGAUAAUCCGACGAAUUUGCCAUAACUUGUCAGAUUAAGACCAAGGAUCAUCGUAUUAUUUAUUAGGCUCCUGACAUCGAACAGACAUGACCAUGGAAUGACAGAAUGGUUUAUUUUAAUAUUUUUCCAAUUAAUAAGAUAUUGUUUGUUAUGUUAUUCAUGUAUUUUCUUGACAUGCAUUAUUUGUUUUGACCAGUCUCAAAAGUGUGUAUACCAUCUGCCCGGCCAUUGGUUUAAGGUGUGACGGACAUAACGAGAGGCAGUUUUGCACAUAAAGGGCAGAUACAGGAUGAAUAACAUCCUAUCCUUCUCAAACAUAAUUGUUGAUGCAAGCUAGCUGCAUUACGUUAGGACUUUUAAUAUUUGAAUUUUGAAUUUUGAAUAUUUGAAUACUUAAAAAUAUUUAAAUUUUGAAAUAGCUUGUUAGGAUUAGUUAGCAUUGGUUCUUAGGAUAGGUAUGACUUUCUUAGUCAUUUUGAAGUUUGAAUUUAAAAAGGUGGUUGUUUUUCAGGUGAUUGUUUUAUCUUAGAUUAUUAAAUAAGCCCAAGAGGGCCCGUUUGUAAGAAGUUUAAGACGGAAUGAAAAUUUGUUUAUAUAAUUAGGGAGUUCCCUCGAGUUUCUCUUUCCUCUUUCUUCAACCUGGAUUGGCUGGCUUUCCUCUAUUCUCCAUCUUUGUUUCUUCUCUCUCUAUUUCCUCUACCGUACUACUCUGAUCUACAUCAAGCAUGCAGUUAGAUUAAGUGUGAUUGUAUCAGUGCCAACAUCGCUAGUUGACUACACAAUAUAACUCGAGGCUAAGUAAAUUAAGAGUUUGAUAAAUUGUAGUGCCUACAAAACAGCAGGCUCUAUGCCAACUAUAGUAACAUAGUAGUUUUAAUCAGGUAGCUCUACCUUUAUUUUUAAUAACAGGAAUCAGAAAGAAAGCACUAUCUAUACCAAUCUAUCAUAUAUUCAAAUAGAAAUAGAAAAAAUCAAACAUUAAAACCUCAGAUAAAGCUGUCUUGGUUAAGCUGCUUUAGCCAAGUCUUCAUCAAUCAAACUAUGCCAGAAAUAAAGAUGACAUAUUAAACAUAAAAAGGAACAUCAAUUCUCUUAAGUGAAUUAGGACAUUUAGGCCACUUCAGGAGGGGUAAACACUAUUUGCAAGGGAGUUGCAUAAAGCUGUCAUUCAAGUAGUUCAAAUUAAUUUCAAUAUAAGGGCACUAGAGUAUGAAAUCAUGUGCAACAAAUACAAAUAUAACAGCACUACAGAUAAUUCAUGAAUCAGAACAAUUAAAUGGUAGUCCUAAUAAUCAAGCAUGCCAUUAAAGGAGAUUACCUAUCCUCGCAAGCCGGUUCACCCACUUGGGGAUUGAAUUGCCAGUCAGCUUAUAACAGAUGUCAUUGCAGAAAUGGUUGCAGUUCUUGACGAUCAAAUGAUAUGUAUCUCCAUUGUAGUUUACCGAUUGGAGCUCCAUAAACUCUCUAACCUGCAAAGGAUCUAGGCAAGUUGUGCCGAUAAAUAUUGAUUUCCUAAACCUGAAGCCUGGACACUGACGAGGCUCAACCUCGAAGACUCCACUCGAGGGGUAAUCAUGUGCUCCAAAUGCAUAUUCUACACCAUGAACUACAUAGACACAAAAUAUAGCAUUCAGAAACAUUUUUAUUUUUUAAAUAAAAAGAAAUUUUCAUAUUACAAAUAAGAGCUCGUUAUCAGGCAUCCAAAUCUUGUAAUACUUCAUCACAUCGCAGUUGCUUUGGAGAAAAGGAAUAGCAUGGCAAUAGAAUUUGUUGUUUCUGUCGACACUUGAAUUUAUUGCUCUUGGCUAAUAAAUGACAUUGUCAUUUACUAAAUGUCUGGAUAGUGGAUAUUCGUCCAAUUCGAUCAUGAUGUAUUCCACUUAUAGAUAGGUGAGAUUAGAUAUGUCUAAGCAAGUCAAUUUGUGUCUUAUUGCGGUUAGAUCUAUGUUAGUCCUUUUCAAUACCAACUGGAUCUAAUUAAAAAUGAAGCCCAAUAUGAGAUUAGCUAAAUAUUUUGCACUUGGCAUGAAGAUUGUCGCUGUUUCCUUCGCAGAGACCAAAGUUGACAGAGAUACAUUUUGAAGAGCAUUCCAGGUUAGAUAGCUUAAAUUGGCAAAAGAUGACUGUUUGGUGAGACAUAAAGGGAAAGACUGGAAGAGUUUGGUAACAAAUGAAAAUUUGUAUGGCGUAAUCUUGUAAAUGAAUUUGUUUCUUCCUCCUAUUUCUUCCAUGCUUUCCUAAUCCCCAUUCCGAUACCUUUCAUGGUGUAUUUAAAUGAAUAUUUUUGCCUAAUUUUCCUUUUAGUUGUUAAUACGUUGCUUUUCAUUGGCAAUUGUUCAAAAACCACGGAUUUUCUAAAUAUGUCGCUUCUUAAUGAUCAAAAUUCAACAUGAUUAUGACACUACAACAUAUGGCAAUACACAGUAUGUUAGCCUACAGUAUAUUCAUUGGUAUCAAAACAAAAAUUAGUUUAAUGAACGAAUUUCUUCAAUAAGAAAUCUGCAGUUGUUCAUCCUAUCGAGGCUCGAGCUAACAAUUCUAGACAAAUAAAUCACCCGCCAACAAAAGCAAAAGAUUUGGAGAUAUAUACUAAGAAACAAACAUAAAUUAGUGAAGCAGUAAUCAAUUGAAAGAACAAAAAGAUACAACCUUAAACAAAAGGCAAUGAUGCUAAUUCAAAGAUAACAUAUUUACAUGUUUAUCUAGAUCAAUUAGUGGAGGUGACAACACAAACAGAAAUAAAAGGAAAACAAUACCUUCAAUCCCAGAGUGGAAAAUCCCAAGACCAGCCCAAUACAUGUAGCCAUUCACUGGGGUCAAAUCAUACACGUUCAGGUAAACCGGCGCAUCGCCCGGCGUUUGGCCGGCCGAGCGGACCUUCGGGAACAUACAGAACUGGGUCCCGGAUUUCCGUCCCAUUCGAAUCGGCACCAGGGAUUUCCAUCCCUUCUUUGUCCCCAGCUUCAUGUUCCUUCAAUCAAUCAAGGAAAUAACCACACCAUCACCCCACAUUUUACAACAGUGAACAUGCGUUCCACAAGAUGUUCGCGGAAAUGCUUGUGUGAUAUAACACCCAAAGAAACCCAUGAUGGGAACCCCCAAAUGAGAGCAAAAUGAGCUCAGUUGGGUUAAUCCAUGCCAAAUCAAGAUCCCAUCUUUCCAAACUCCUCCCACAUUUCACAGAUCCGAAAGGGGAAAAAAACCUAAAAAUCCCCAAAAAAAGGGGGAAAAAUUGCAGAACACAAAAAAAUAAAAGAAAACGAAAAAAACAGAGGUCUUGAGAGGGGAAACCCCAUUUACCCGUGGUCGGAGGAGAAAACCCAAAUCACAAAACGCGAAGAGGACGAAGACCACCUCCGCCGACGCGGGGAACCGCCAUUGUUGGUCCCAAAAGAGCACCACCAACCCCACCACGUCCACGGCCACCACCACCACCAAAGAGCCUUAGACCACCUCAAUUAGAAGAAACCCUAGAGAGAGGAAGAGGACGAAGGGAGGAGAUCUCAUUGCGGACAUGGAAAUGGCGCAUCAGGGGGAAGAGGAAGAGAUCUACAGAGAAGGAGAUCUCUCUCUCUCUCCCCUCCUCUUCUCUCUCUCUCCUCUCUCUCUCUCUCUCUCUCUGUCUCUUCUCGUACACCGAUUUGGCCUGUUCCUUUUUCUGUAAGGGCCAGUAAAAAAGAAGAGACAAGCUUUCUCAGAAGGCGCGCUUUUAGCCUCUUCUUUUUUCUUUUCUUUUUUUUUUCGUUUUUUGGAUUAAUUUUUUAUUAUCCCGGCAAACAUAAUAAAUGAUAAAUAUAUUUUUAUAAAAUUUAAUUUUUAUAAAUUAUUUUUAUAAUAAUUUUAAUAUUUUUAAAUAUGUCUCACCGUUAGAAAAUUUUAAUUAAUUAUAAAUUAAAUAUUUAAUUCUGAUUAGUUUUUUGAUAUUUUUAUAUUUUUUUAUAUUAUACUGUUAUAAUUUUUGAAUAAACAUAUUUGUGAUGAUAAAAUUAAAAAUAUAAAUAGUUCUUUAAAUAGGUUUUUAACGGUAACAAAGUAAAAUGACAUAUUUGAAACAAUUAGGACAUUUAUAGAAACGACAUAUGAAAGUUGAAUUUUAUAGAGACAUAUUUAUCAUUCGCUAUAUUUGUAGAGAUCUGUAUGAAAUUAAUCUAUUUUUUGAUAAUUUUUCGAAGAUGUAAAAUAUGUAGUGGAAAUUACUGGCAGGAAUAAUUGUAUAAACGUCCCUGCAAAGUGAAAAUAUUGCAUAUCCAUCCCUCUAUAUUUUAAAACAUUUUAUACAUCUUGUAAAAUUUCCAAGCAUUUUGACUUGGAAAAAAAAUGAUACUGAGAUUAACCUGAGAUUAGUGACCUAUGAUCUUAUUUUUAUUUGGGCAAUUUAAAAAGUGUCUCUCAAAAAGUUACAAAAUAAUUGUCACUAUCAUUUGUUGCAGGGUGCAUGACUAAGAUUAUUGGACUAUAUUGUUCUUGGUUAUACCUAAUUAUAAUAAAUAAUAAUAUGGUAUUAUGCAGGGUCAACGAAAUUAUUUCUCAUCAAAAAACGGCAUUAUAUAUAAUUUUCUCUGCGGUUUUUUUUUUUGUUUUGUAAUUCAAUAUUAUUUGGUUCACCUAUUAUUCUUAAAUGAAAAUAAUCAAUUAAAAGCCAAAAUAUGUUAUAUUCUUUGUGAAUGUAUAGUAUGUUUUUUAUUUAAUAUUUAUACAGUUUUAUUUGUUUAAUUAAUUAGUUUUCAUUAAGUUGGUACUCAAUUAUAUUUUAUAAAAUUAUAAAGUUUGAAAUUUUUGACUUAAUUAAAAAGACGUUGAUGAUAGAUAAAUGAUAAAGUGAAAUUUUAAUAAAGUUAGAACAAAUUUUCUCCAGUGUAGAUAUUUUUGACAACUUUUUAAAUUAAAAAAUAUUUUUAAUAUUAACGCUAUGUAAUAACGACCGGAGAACAGACGCAUAUGAAGAUAUGAUCUAUUUAUUAAAAUUAAUAUAAAUUCAGAUAGUUGAUUAUUAACUUUUUUGGGUAUAAAAAUGAAUAGUGCAAUUAACUUUUUUUUUUUUACUGCUACAGUGAUUAGCCAUGUCAAAGAAUUUUUUAUUUUUUCUAAUUCUUUUUUUUUUUGAGGGAUUUUUUUUUUCAAAAUUGGUGGGCAUUGCCAAAGCUUCAUUUAAAUUAGUUAUGAAUUAUUUCUAAAUUUUCAUAUGAAAUAAACUAAUGUGUAAAAUUCAUAAAACUAUAUAUAUAAAUUAUAAUAGUUAAGAAAAAAAUAUAAAUAAACCAAUUUGUGCAGGUAUGAUUUGUCAACUAUCCAUAUAUUUUGUAAUGCCCAAAUAGUCCCAUAUCGCAUUUCUCUAUUUUAGGUUCUGACAAUUGAUUUUCUGCGUAAUUUCGACUGGAUAAUUUCUUAUUUUUGAGGCUGCAUUAAGGUAAGCGGCCGGACACCCGUUAGUUUUUCGCUAAAUAAUUUAGAAAAAUACUUGAUUGUGUGAAAAUCUUUAUUUUGUAGAUUUUAAAAUUAAGUGUUAAAUGUAUAUUAAAUAUUUUUGUAAAUUGAAUUUCAACUGUGAUUAAAAAGUUUUUUUAACAGAAGAAUUUUGAAAUUUGAUUAUCUGUUCUAUAAGUUAGUGAUUAAAUAAUUUUGAAUUAUAAUGUUUCUUAAUAUUCUGUUAUGCUAAUAUUGGCUAUAUCGACAUGUAUUUUGUUAUAGAAGCAAGAUUCGUCUUUGUAUUGCGCCUUCCAGUGCCUGCGCCUAUCCGUGCCUUUAUUUUGUUUGCGCAUUCGGGUGUCUCUAUUUUGUACAAACAUAUUCGGUGUCUCUAUUUUGUUUGCGUCUUCGGUUGCCUCUAUUCUGUUUGCGCCUUCAGGUGCCUUUGGAUCUCGCUAACGGAUCAUAUGAUAUAGUUAGUUGCCGGAGUCGUUUAUUUGCUGAAAAAGAAAUGCUUUGUAAAAUUAUAAUUUCAAUCCGAUUUGAAAUUUUAAGUUUUUGAUAAAUUCUUGUUUACUGAAAUUUUACAAAUUGAAAACCAGUCGCUUGAAUUAAUUUUUGUAUUUAUUUAUUUAUUUAUAUUGUAUACUUAAUCCUACUAAUGUGGUGUAUAACUCUCCUAUUUAGACCCUGAUAUUCUCGUCGGAUCCAAACCAGAGGUCCUUUGUAACGCCCAAAUAGUUCCAUAUCGGAUGGGAUACUGAUUCCGAUCAGUUUAUAUGAGACAUACACGCUAGUAAUAAUAACUAGACUUAAGCAUUUUGAGCCGGUGGUUUGGAUCGAACGAGUUAUUGUUACUAGCGAGUCGAAUUGUUACACUUAUUAUAGCAAUGAUUCUUUUAUAAAAUAUCUGUUCAUACAAGGUGUAGAGCUAAUAUUUGAAUUGUUCUUCUAGGUCUAUUAUAAAUUUUUUGAGUAACACAACUAUAUUAAAAAAAAUAUUAAAUUAAAUUAUGAGAGUACGAAUUAAAAUGUUAAAGAGAUUCUCUUUUUUUUAUUAUUCAAGCAGAAUAUUUAAAUUGAAAAGACUUUAAUUUAUUUGCAUUUUAGAACUUGAACACAAUAAACUAAUAGUAAAAUGAAAUUUAAAAAAAGCCCACCACCAACCUCAUAUAACUUAUCAAAAUAGAAAUAUAAACAAUGUCAAAUAUGCUUUAAACAUUAAUUCUGAGAAUACGAAUCAAAUCAAAUCGUGCUCAAGAGGUGGGAGCAUCCUAGUAAUUAUAUAUAAAAAAAAGUUUAAAAAACAAUUUAGAGUAAAUACUAUAAUUUGUUACACCAGAAGAAAGUGCUUUUAAAAUAAUUCGAAGAAAAUAUCAAUCUUAAUAAUAAUUGAGUGAUUAUGUAGUAAUGUAUCGCGAGAAAGUUUUAGACGUUGAAUAUAUAAUAUUAAAAUAAAAUGUUGUUCUCUAACAGCCUAUUUUAAAAAAUAAUAAUAAUUUUAUGUUGUUUAACAUGAGAUUAAAUUUCAACAUUUAACCCUACCGAAUUUUUCAGCUUUAUUAGUUCCUCCUAUUUAAUCUAAAAUAUUAUUCUAUAAUAGUUAAAACUUUUGGAGAAUAAUUAAUGGUCGUUUUACAAGAUUUAACAUUAGAUGAGGAAUCAACGAAGUUUAAAGUAAAAGUAUUCCUGUACCACAAACAAAAAACUAAAAAUAUAUAUAUAUACAAAAAUAGGCAAGUUACAUUGUUGGUUUGUAAUUUUUAUUGGAUAUUUCAAUCUGAUUUUCAAUUUUCUAAUUUUUAUAUUAGCUCUCUAAUACGUACUAUUUAUUUUAACUAUAUCUUACCUGUCAUAAAAAGCCUGUUAAAUUGUACGAAAAUUGUGAAGACAUGGAUAAUAUUUUAUGGUUGUAUAAAAUAGUAUUUCGGUCGAAUAUGCGAAUAUUCAGAAUACUAUUUUAUGGAAGUAUAAAAUUUUAAAGACAAGUGAUUAUUUCUUUGAGUGUUAAACCAAGAUAUACUCGGUUUGAAUUCGCCAUACUAGCUUAGUUUUUUAGUAAAAAUAUUUAGUGAAGAUACCUUAGGUGUAACUUUUCUCUAAAUCUAGUUAAUGUACAAUUUUAUUUUAUUUUUUUUUGUUUAGAAAAUUUACAAAGAGGAAAGAGAUUUUUUUGAGAAAAAAAAGAAUUGCAGUAAUAUGUACUAACAUGUUCGUCAUUCAUCAAAAUAAGAGCAAUGUUAUAUGUCCACUUCUAAAUUAGGUGUAUAUCUUACAUUCUGAUCUAUUCAAAGACUAAUUAUUGUUCUCUAGUUUUAUAAACAUUUUGUUUAGGAAUAAUUGCAUAUGGUUUUCUGCAAAAGUAUCAAAUAGAAAAUAUAUUUCUAUAAAACUUAAGUUAUUCUAUUUAUCCUUCCAAAAGUAUUUUUGGCUAUAAAUAUAUUCUUCUUUUAAUAAAAUUUAGAUAAUCAUGAGUUAACAAAGCUAAUCACUGUUAGCUAAGGAAUAAAAUGAUAUUUUUACAUUUCAUAUAUAUAAUUUGUAUUUUAAUAUUGAGUCCUAUCAUCUUUCUCACUCUCUCCUCUUUACCCACGACGGCAGCAAAACCUACGGCGGCGACGUCGAAGGUGGAGCCUUCAGUCGCGGCAAAGAAGACGUACACCAAAUGUGCCACGGUGAAGGCGAGGAGAGAGAGGAAAAUAAAGAUAGCUUUUUGUAGGGAUAGAUUUAUAAGCAAAAUAGUCAUUUUACGCAUUCACCGUUAAAAAAUGAACGGUAAAUCAAAUGAUAGGAACAUAUAUAAACGAAUCAGAACUUUUGGAGGGAUAUAUUUGUAAACCAAAGAAUUUUUGAAGAAAUAAAGUUAAUAACUUAAGUUUUGUAAGAAUAUAUUUGUUAUUUGAUAUCUUUCUAGGGACCUAUAAGAAAUUAACUAUUUUUUAAAACUAAAUAUUUAUUUAAAUUGUUGUGAAUCAUAAGAUGUAAAUAGUGUAAGAUUUACCUCUAUAAAUAGAUGCAAACAUGAUAAUUUUCUCAAAAUAAACAUAUUCUUUUUAUCCCGAGUGAAAAAAUAUACUGCAUUUCAAUAACAAAUAUAUAAGUCAAAAGAGAAAACUAUUUCUUGUUAGAGAGAUAUAUAAUUAAGAAGCUUUAUAAAUAUAAUAUAAAUGUUUCUAAGUACGACCAAGAUCACAUGCAACAUUGGUUUUGCAUUUAAUAAGUAUAUAUUGUACCAUUUUCCAACUAUUAAAAUAUUAUAAUUGGAAUUCCAAAUCUCAAAGCUCAAGCAAAUGGACUACUUAUUUAUGAUUGCGUACGUUGGUUUCACUUCUUUUGAUGCACAACGAAUUCAUGUGAUGAAACCAGGAUUAAUUACUCCAUUAUUCCUUCAACUAUUAAACAUUUUUUUUUUCUACUUUGGUUAUUAAUCUUCUUUUACUGCUAUUAGAUUAAAAAUCUUUAUAUUUUAUUUCAAGCUAGUUUCUCACUAUUCAAAUUCUCAUUAAUUUUGACGAUAUAGAUUACAUUAACUCUAAUAAAAUCAUAUCUUUUUAUAAACAUCACGAUAAUAAUUUAGUAGUUUCUAGCUAAUCUCAGCAUCAACAUGUUUAAGUUUUUGAAAAAACUUAAUAGCACGUCCCACUAAACUCUAAAACACUGGUUGUCUUAAAAAAGACAGUAAGUAUGCAUUGUAUAUAAGGUCAAAAUAGUCGUAGGGGCGGAAUUAAAAUGGUGGCGGAAUUAAAAUGAUGUGAGAUUGGGUUUCAGGGACCUAAGGAAAAAAAAAAGUUUAGGGACCAAUGAUGUAACUAAUUUUAAAGAUUAAAUAUCUUAUUUACGAAAAAAAAAAAGGGUUGUGUAGGGUAAAAGUUAGGGACCUUAAGGUGCAAUUAACCCUUCUAAUAUUUAUAGUAAUCUCUCCUCUUUGACGGGGAUUCUCAGAUGCUUAUCAUUUAAAAAAAAGAAAAAAGAAAAAAGAAGGGCAAACGUGCAACCAUGAAAGUUCUUUUAAUUUUAAUUUUUAAAACUUGUUCUAACUUCUACAAGCUAGUUUAUACCUUUUUUUUUUUCCUUCACUUUUUUUUUUUUUAAUGUAAAAUAUAAGAGAGGCAAUGAUACAAUCAAAGAGUUCAAAACACCAUUAAUAAAUUUUCAUAUUAAUAUAUAUUUCAAGAAAACUUUAUUUACCAUCACCCAUUCAAAAUGCUUUAGAAUUUGAGAUGUUGGUCCUGUUGAAUCUAAUUGAUGCUGGAUAAUAUAUUAUUUAAGAUUAAUUUGGUAUUGAGAGCUCUCUAAACUUAUUACGUAGAAACAAAUUUGAGUGAACGGAUAUAAUAAUAUGUGACCGUAAAUAUAUAGAUAUCUCUAUUGAAUUAUGAUAUAUACAAUAUAAUAUUGGCCACUUUGCAAAAAAAAUCACUAAUUUUAGGCUUUUGUAAAAGUGGGUCACCUUUUUCGUUUUUGCAGAUUUCAUCCGAAUUUUUAACAAACUGACCAAAAUACCCUUAUUACUUUUUCUCUCUCCUCUUCUUUUCUCUCGUUCAUUUUUUUUCUCUCGCCGAAAAAAGCAACGGAGGCAGAGGCGGAGGCGAAAACGGUCCGCCUCGCCUCUCACCCUCAUGCUCUCGCCCUCGCCCUUGCCCUCGCCCGCGCACCCCCCAUCUUCCUCGCCUCCGACCCCACCGAGGCCGGCUGCGACUCUUUUUUUUUUUUNCUCUCCUCUUCUUUUCUCUCGUUCAUUUUUUUUCUCUCGCCGAAAAAAGCAACGGAGGCAGAGGCGGAGGCGAAAACGGUCCGCCUCGCCUCUCACCCUCAUGCUCUCGCCCUCGCCCUUGCCCUCGCCCGCGCACCCCCCAUCUUCCUCGCCUCCGACCCCACCGAGGCCGGCUGCCGACUCUUUUUUAAUUUUUUUUCCCUCUCCGACUCUCCUCCACCAUCUCUGACAUCGACGCCUCUCUUGCCCUUCCCCGCCUUUCUUGUCCUCUCCCUCUCCCUUCUCCUCUGCCGCCUCCGAUAACGACGCUUCUUCGCCGACGCCGACACCGACACCGUGGAGGUUGCUGCGGCACUGCAACCUCGAAGCGGGGGGUCCUUAGCGGCGGCGUCGCCGGCGCCGUGACCGUUGGCAGAAAUGGGUGACCAAAAAAAAUUAUAGAAGAAACAAGAAAAAAAAAUAAAGAUAAAAAAUUAUAGAAAAAGAAAGUUGAAGAUGGAAUUGCACAGUUAAAAUAAAAUUGUACUGUUUUAAAAGAACGUUGCACUAUUAUGGACAUAUAUUGUACUACUUAAGAUAUAAACUACAGUUUUAAGAUAAAAAUUACACUUUUUAAACAAAAAUUGCACUCAUUGGGAGAUAUUUACACUAUUUUUUCUAUUAUUGCACUCUUUAGAUGUAAAUUGCAUCCAUUAAGAUGAAAGUUAUACUUUUUAAACGAAAGUUGAACUCUUUGAGAGAUAUUUAUAUUGUUCCUCCUCUUAUUGCACUCUUUGAGAUGUAAACUGCACCCCAUUGAGAGAUAUUUAUACUGUUUCUCCUCUUGUUGCACUGUUUCUUUUCUUGUUUUACUAUUUUUUCUUUUGUUACACUAUUUUUUCUCUUAAACUGUACCCUUUAAGAGGAGAAACAGUGUAAUAAGAGGAGAAAUAGUGCAACAAGAGGAGAAACAGUAUAAAUAUCUCUUACAGGGAUGUAGUUUACAUCUCAAAGGGUGCAAGAAGAGGAAAAACAGUGUAAAUAUCUCUCAAAGAGUGCAACUUUCGUUUAAAGAGUGUAACUUUCAUCUUAAUGGAUUCAGUUUACAUCUGAAAAAGUGCAAUAAUAGGAGAAACAAUAUAAAUAUCUCCCAAAGAGUGUAAUUUUCGUUUAAAGAAUGUAAUUUUCAUCUUAUAAUUGUAAUUUACAUCUUAAUAGUGCAACGUUCUUUUAAAACAGUGUAAUUUUAUUUUAAUGGUGCAAUUUCAUCUCCAUCUUUCUUUUUCUAUAAUCUUUUAUCUUUAUUUUUUUCUUACUUCAUCUAUAUUUUUUUUUAUCACCCGUCUCUUUCAGCGCCGGCGACAACGCCCUAAGAACCCCCCGCUCCGAGGCUGCAGCGCCAUAGCGACCUCCACGGUGUCGGCAUCGGCGAAGAUGUGCCAUCGGCAAAGAAGCGUCGUCGUCGAAGGCGGCAAAGGAGGAGGGAGAGGGAGAGGACAAGAAGGACGGGGAAGGGCGAGAGAGGCGUCAUUGUCGGAGACGAUGGAGGAGAGUCAGAGAGGAAAAAAAAAAAAAAGUUGCAGCGCGGCCUCGGCGGGGUCGGAGGCGAGGAAGGUAGGGGGUGCGCGUGGUGAGGGCGAGGGCGAGGGCGAGGGCGAGGGCGAGGGCGAGAGCAUGAGGGUGAGAAGCAAGGUAGGCCAUUUCUGCUUAACCGCCUCUGCCUUCGCCUCUUCGGCGAGAGGAAAAAAAAAUGAACGAGAGAAAAAAAAAAAAGGAGAGAAAAAGAGGAGAGAGAAAAAGCAAUAAAAAUAUUUUGGUCAGUUUGCUGAAAAUCCAGUCCGAAUCUACAAAAUCGAAAAAAUUGGCCCACUUUUACAAAAGCGCAAAACUAGUGGAUUUUUUAUGGAAAUUGGCCUAUAAUAUUACUUGGUAUCUAAAUAUUGUAGGUUGGUUGGUUUAUCUUGUUUGAUAAUGCCCAAUUUCUUUUGUUAAUAAAUAUAUGAGUUGUACUCAUAGAUUUAAUUAUUUUCGUUGAAAGAAAAAAAAAAAUGCUAAAUUACAUAAAACCUUCGAGUUGAGCUAAAAUACUCUCAAAAGCACAAAGGGAGUGGUGCUUUUGAGUUUUUAACGAUUGGAUGGAGAGAUGUAGGAUUGAGAUGAUGGUGGUAGGUGGAAUAGUGUUUGAUCCAAAGGCUAUUAGUAACGAAGGAGUAGAUCCAAGGGUUAGAAAUCUAAAAGCAACAAGGGGUUUGUGCUUCCAAAAGUAUUCUAGCUCAAUUCGAACACCUCCUUAUAAAUAUUUUUUUUUUUACUUUUUCUUUAUAAUUUUUAAAAAUCUAUAUUUUACUCACUCAGCAUUUCCAGUUGCUACAUUUAGUCCCCCUCCAUCAAGGUUUCAUUACUAUUCCGUCUAUUUAUUAUAAUUUGUACUAAAAAUGCCCUUCAAAAUAACAUAAAUAUAUUAAAAAAUUUAUUUUUUCUUAUAGAAGAAGGAUAAUUUGAUUGUUUUUUCCUCUUCAUUAACGCCAUACCCUCCUGAAAAUAUUUUUGAAAUUUUAAUUGGGCAAAAUAUAUGUUUUUUAAAGUUCGGGAGGAAAAGUAAAAAAAUAGGUAUUUACAAGAGAGUUUUCUGUAUUUUAGCCUCUAAUUCAAGAUAAUAAGUUUUAGCGAAUCAAUUUCAUUUAAAUACUUAAAUAAAUAAAGGGCAGAAUCCAAUAAUUUUAACAAAGCGAAACUGAGGGAAUUAAUUAACAAGGAUAAGCCGGAUGAAUUUGACUUAACUUACAUAUAUGAUUACAUGUGAAAAGCACCAUAACAUAAAAAUAUUAGGGUAAACUUUAAAUGCCAUCCCUGUAGUUUCGUACUUUCUUAUUUUAAAACUCUAUAAUUUAAUAUGUAUGAAUUUAGUACCAUAUAGUUUUAUUUUUCUCUUUUCGUCACUCCCUUCAUUAACUUUUUGUUAAAUCAUAUACAAAAAAUUUUAAAUACUCCACCUAUAGUUUAUCGAAUAUAUACUUUAGUAUCUUUUAGUUAUAAUUUUGUCACUGAUUUAACAAAAAAAAUUAGUAAAGAGGAUAACAAAAGGAGAAAAAUAAAAUCACAGGAUACGAAAGCGAUAUAUUUUAAACCACAGGGUACUAAAGUGAGAAAGUGCGAAACUACAAUGGUGGUAUUUGAAGAUUUUCCAAAAUAUUAAGAACAUAAGAACUAGGUUAGAAUGCUAUUAAUAGCAUUAAGUCAUUGGUGCGAUUAGGUUUUCGACCGUUGAAUGAAGCGAUGUACGAUUAGGAUAAUAGCGAUCCUCUAGGGUUAGAAUCGUUAGUUGGUUAAAUAGUAUGAUCUAACGGAUGAAAAUAAUUAAAAUGGUAAAUUUAACGGUAGAAAAUUUGAUAACACAAAGUGCUUGGUAUUGCAGACAGCAUUGUAGCCGGACUCAAGAGCAAAAAUCUAGAUAGUUAUAUUGACCGGCAUCCCCCAUUUCUUUAAUUGGUAAAUAUAAAAUUUAUAAAAUUUAGGUGGCUAUUUGUAAACUGCACGCCUAAGAAUCAGACUAGAAUUAAAUUGAAGGAUUUGACUAAAUAAGAACUGCAAAGUUUUACUAUUAUGUAGCGUAUAAAUAAAUGCAGUACGAUCGUGUGAGAAUAUAAUAAAACACAAAUGAGAAGAGGAUAAAAUCAAUUUGAAACAUGGAUAGAAUUAAGCAAGGUGCCAACCAAGUUUUAGAAUAGGGUAAAACAUGGCCAGUUGUAUUACGUACGGUGAGAAAGUUUAUUGGAAAAAUACUAUAUUUAUUUUCGUACGUAAUAUUGCAUCCCGCAUAUCGCGAUGAAUCGAUUAUGAUAUAUUUUCUGCGAUCCGACCGAGAAUGCAGAAGCUCACCCCUAUAUGCUUUUACCUCAACUCUAUUUUAUCUAAUAGUGUUAGAUGAGUCUUAAUACCAAACUAAGCCUUAGUUUGGUAUUGAAUACUAUUUAACGCUAUUAGAUAAAAUAGACUUAGGGUAAAAGUAUAUAGGGAUAUAGUUUUGCGUUCUCGUGUGGGACCGCAGAAAAUAUAUCGUAACCGGUUCAUCUCAAUAUGCGGAACAUAAUAUUAUACGAAAAUAAACAGAAUAUUUUUUCAUCGUACUUUCUCACCGCACAUAACACAAUCUUUCCGCAAUCCCAAAUGAUGUCAAGCUAUUUUAACUCCUUAAUUUAAAUAGGACAUUUUAUUUUACUUUUUAAACUAACCUUUAAAAUAUUUUAAAAGUUAAUAUAUAAUUUUUUUAGCCUAAAAGAACGUUUUGGCUCAUUUAAUCAGUUUUAUUCAGUCGGCUUAGAUUUCGAAUAUAAAAAAUUAAAAUUUUAAAUAAAUUUUUUUUAAAAAUAAUUAAAUCGAACUUUACGUACCGAAUUAGUUUCGAUUGAAUUUGAUAAUUUGGUUUUAGCCGAACAGUGCUCACCGCCACUCACAGCUCAGAUGUGGGGAACAAAAGUGAGGCUGCAGGUUAAGCAGCAAAACGCGUGCAAAAGGCUGCUAUGCACUUGAACUUCCGCACAGGAUUCCACCCACGCGAAAUCAGUGACAACUACAAAGGUGCUGCUUUAGGGACGUCAACAGAUCGGAUUUGUGGCUGAUUUUUACAAAAUUUGAAUUCGAAUUCGACUAUUAAAUUUAAAAUUUAAAUUCGAAUGAGAAUUCGACAGCUUUUAAAAAUUCAUUAUCCAAAUCCGAAUCCGAUAAAAAAUUUGAAACCCGAACCCCAGCUAAAAAAUUCGAAUCCGAAAUAAUUAUUUUUCUUUACAAUAUUUCAAAAUAUAUUACAUUGAAUCUAAAAUUUUAAAAUACAAAUUCAAAUACAAUAUUAAACUUAUAUAUAUAUAUAUAUAUAUGCUAGUACUAUACUCUUAUGAGUAUAGAACUCUUUGUACUAAGAAGUUUUCGGUCGUUGAAUGAGGAGAUGUGCGGUUAUGAUGACAGUGAUCCCCGAUUAAAAUGAUAAUGGUCUCUUAGAAUUGAGUAGGUGGUUGGUUGUAUAGUACGAUCUAACGGAUAAAAAUGAUCAAAAAAAUAGAUCUAACGGUCGGAAACCUAUUUGUACAAAAGGGUUUAUACUUAUAAAAGUAUAAUAGCCGAACUCUAUAUAUAUAUAUAUAUAUAUAUAGAGAGAGAGAGAGAGAGAGAGAGAGAGAGAGAGAGAAUUCGGCUACGGUGCUUGUAAGUUUUUAACCGUUAGAUCUACGUUUUUUUUAUCAUUUUCAACCAUUAGAUUAUACAAUUCAACCAACAACCCACUCAACCCUACGGGGCCCACAUUAUCCUAUCCGCACAUCUCUUAAUUCAAUGGUAAAAAAUUUACAAGCACAAAAAACUCGGUACUUUUAAAAGCAUAGGAGUACAUAUAUUAUUUAUUUAUAUAAUUACCAUAGUAUAUAUAUUAACAUAUAUUUAUAAAUAAAUACAUCAAAAUUAUAUUAUAUGUUAAAUUAAUAAGUAUGUAAUAUAAUAUCUAUAUUAGUAUUUAUGUAAUACUAUAUAAUAAGAAGAGUUAAUUGUAUAUAUAGGUCCCAACAAACAUAACAAAUUGUAAAUAUAUCCUUACAAAUUUUAAUUUUCAUAUUUUGUCUUUGUAAAAGUUCUAAUGUUUUUAAAUAUGUCCUUGCUGUUAGAACGCGUUAGAAAAGUUUAGUUAAUCAUAAGUUAAAUACUUAACUUUGGUUAGCUUAUGAGAUAACUUGACAUUUUUAUCUCUUUUAUAUUAUACUAUUGUGGCUUUUGGAGAGAGACAUAUUUGUAAUGACAAAAUUAAAAAUAUAAACAGUUCUCUAACGGUAACAAAUCAGAGGGAUAUAUUUGAAAAUAUUAGGACUUUUAUAUGGACAACAUAUGAAAGUUAAAAUUUGUAGGGAUAUAUUUGUAAUGCACUAUAUUUCUUGUAUACAUUUAACCCUAAUAAAAAAAAAAAAUAAUAUAUAAUAUACUUAUUAGAGUAGGGCUACUAUACUCUUUAAUAUAGAGCUCUUUAUUCUUGUAAGUUGUUUUCAAUGGCAGAGCUUCAAAAUUGAUAAUCUAUAUUGUUAAAUAUGAUUCAGAACAUUUGAAACUUAUAAAAAAUAAAUUUUAAAAUUUUUCGCGAUUAUAAUAAAGUCCACCAAGAAUGUAUAAAAUGAAUGAUCAAAACUAAACGACAUUCUAAAAAUGGAUGAUCAAAUCUUUCAAUUUAAGAUCGAAAUUAUUGAUCUUUUAUCUAAAUAGUGAAUAGAAUUUUAAAUCAAAAUUUUAAUCUUUUUUUGAUUCUUUUACAAUGUUAAACUAACAAGUAUUCCACACCGGCCAUUAAAAGUUAUCAAUUUUUAGAUUUUUUAAUUGUACGAUAAAUGAUAUAGAAAAAUUAUAAAAUUUAAUUUCUAAAUGUUUCAAUGCUCUAAAUUACAUUUCUAAAGUUUUAUAAUAAAAAAUGACUAAUGAAUAUAAAGAUGAUCAUAUUUAUAAGAGUAUAGUAAUCGGACUCAUAGAUAUUACCGGUCAUAUAUAUUAAUUUUUAUAAAAAAUGAUUGAUUGUAGUAGCAUUGUAUGUGUGUGUGUGUGUGUGUGUGUGUGUGUGUGUGUGUGUAUAUAUAUAUAUAUAUAUAUAUAUAUAUAGAAUUAUGCUACUAUACUAUCAAUAGUACCAAGCCCUUGGUACUAUUGAGUUUUCGACCGUUGGAUGAAAAGAUAUGCGGUUAGGAUGAUAGUGGUCCCCGGUUAAAUUGAUAGUGGUCCCUUAGGGUUGAGUGGGUGGUUGGUUUAAUAGUAUAAUCUAACGGGUGGAAAUGAUCAAAUGGUAGAUCUAACGGUAGAAAACUUCAAUAGGUACUAAGGGCUUGGUAACAUCGAUCAGUAUAAUAGCCGGAUCAUAAGACUGCUAUAUGAUAUAUAUAUAUAUACGCGUAUAUAGUACUAUAUACUAGUAUAUACUAUAUCAUAUAUAUAUAUAAGUAUAUAAUAUAUAUAUAUAAUAUAUAGAAUUAUUUUUUUAUGCUCCUAACUAUCAAUAGUACCAAGGCCUUGAUACUAUUGAUGUUUUUUGGCCAGUUGGAUGAAAGAUGUGGGUCCUUAGAUGAUAGUGGUCCCUAGGGUGAGUGGGUGGCUUCGUGUUAAUAGUAUAAUCUAACGGAUGAAAUGAUGCACAGGGUGAGAUCCUAACGUUAGAAAACCUCUAUAUACCACAAGGCUUGGUACUCAAUCAAUAGUAUAGAAGUCGAGCUCGUAUAUAUAUAUAUAUAGAUAUAUACUUAGAAUUAUGCUACUAUACUAUCAAUAGUACCAAGCCCUUGAUACUAUAGUUGGUGGCCGUUGGAUGGAAGGAUGUGCGGUUAGGAUGAUAGUAGUCCCGGUUAAAUUGAAUAGUGAUCCCCUAGGUUGAGUGGUGUUUGGUUUAAUAGUAUAAUCUAACGGGUGGAAAAUAAUCAAAGGGUAGAUCUAACAGUAAAAAACUCACAAUAGUACCAAGGGCGGUUGAUACUAUCAAUGUAUAGUAGCGGACUAUAUGUAUAUAUAUAUAUAUAUAUAUAUAUAUAUAUAUAUAUUAUAUAUAUAUAAUAUAUAUAUAUAUAAUAUAGAGGUCCGCUAUGGUGCUUGUAAAAGCACAAAACACUUGGUGCUUGAAAUUUUUACCGUUAGAUCUCUCCCUUUAAUCAUUUUUAUUCGUUGAUUAUACUUUCAACCAACCACUCACUCAACCCUAGAGAGGCCCACAUCAUCCUAACCGCACAUCCCUUAACCAAGGGCCGCAAACUUACAAGCACCAAUGACUUGGUACUUUUAAAAGCAUAGGAGCUCAAUUAUAUAUAUAUAUAGUUGGGCUGCUGUGCUCUUAAGAGCACAGCAGCCCCCGUGUGUAUAAGGCAUCCUACCAUCCAUCUAUCUAGAUGGAUGGUUGAGAUGGAUUUCCCUUUUAACAAAAAAAUCCAUUGUUAGAUGGGUUAAAAGUUAACAGAACUUUUUCUCUUCUCUUUUUUGUCUUUUCUUUUUCCUUUCCUUGUCUCCUCCCAGACUCUUCCCCCCCUUCUUCUCUCUCUCUCUCUAUCCACAGUAAAAUGCGCAUCUCUUCUUUUCUCCGCCCAAUCUCUCUCCCCUCCCUUCCUGUAGAAUCGUGGAACUUCUCCGUUCCUUUGAACGUCGCCACCGGAGAAGACCGAUUAGCGUUCGCAAAGAGGUAAGCACUCCCUCCCCAAACCGCCUUUCCUAGAAUACCCUCUCACCGUGACCCCAUGCCCUCCCCUGCCACCCGCAUGCGAACCCCGCGGCGGCGCGACCUGCCCGACGACCCCAGCCCGAUGCCGCGCCCUCUCACGCGCCGUUGCUAACCCGCGCGGGCGACCCCUGCCGCAGUGACCACCCAUUCGCCCCCACACGCCCUGCCGCGGCCCCUGCAGGACCAUCCCAUCGCCAGCCCGAGCCCCUUGCAGGACCGCCUCCCAAGCCGCGCGACCACCUCCUCCCACAACGGCGCUCCGCGCAGGGGCGACCCUCUGCUACCACUCUCGGACCCCUGGCCUCUGCCCACCGCCUAAAGCCCCCUCCUCGCCCUCGCCCUGCCGCCCGAAGGCCGCGCUGUAAAGAAAAAAAAAGCUGAAGCCCCCACAAGCGCCCCACCAACACAAAAUUUUUUUAAAAAAAGUCCUCUCUGUUCAUGAGGAUAGUAGAAGGAAAAAAAAACUAAUUAAUUAUAAUAUACUAAUAUUAUAAUUACGAAGGAACUUUGGAUAGAUCGUCCUCAUAUUGUAAUUUUGAGGAAACCUUGGUCCACGUAUUGUAAUUCUGAGGGAACCAUGGAUAUAUGUAGUAACUCAUGCCCUAGCCUCUUUGUCGUUUGUUAGAAUUUGAAAAACAGACAUAUAUAAUGUAGUUUGUUUUUUUCUUUUUUCUACACAUUUUCCUUCCAUUUAAUGUGAUUACUUAAGUUUAUCAAAAUUUGUCUUGCAUUGAUCAUCAUAGAAAUUCGUUGUUUCAUUAUUAUUUAUUGGUUGGUUAAUUUAUAUGCAAUAUAUAUAUUGUAGAUGAAAAUUGGCAAUUCACUAGAGUCGGAUAAUCAGUUGGAGAUUAUGCUCGCUGAAGGCGCCUCUAAAAUUGGUUCGACAUCUACCAUCUUUGGUACUGAUAAUACUCAAACCACUAUUGAUACUUUUGACAAUGAAUAGACAAACUUGUAAAGAGGCUUCCAAUAUAUUUGGUGAUAAUCUUCCACACUCCGAUGAAGAAAGAAGUGAAAGUCAUGAAGACAAUGAAGAUAGUGAAGAAUGAAAGUAUUAAUAUUAGUACUUUAUUUGAUGUUUAAUGUACCUUGAAUGUUUAAUGCAUUUGGAUGUUCAAAUGUAAUAUUUUACAUGUUUAAUGUACUUUAGAUGUUUGGAAUGCUAUUUGUAAUGCACUUUGGAAUGCUAUUUGUAUUAAAUGUGUAAUGCACUUUGGAAUACUAUUUGGAAUGCACUUUGGAAUGCUAUUUGUUUGUAUUGUUGAUGUUCCAUACCAUAUUUCAUACCAAGUCAACUAAUAGGCCUACUAUUUUGUAGAACAUCAAGAAAGUCAAAUAAAAAAAAAAAAACACUUAUCUAUUUCAAGUUUAGUAUCGUUUAUUUCAUUAAAAAAAAAAUGAAACUUAUAAUGCAUUCAUAUGUAGAAGUUACAUAUGAUAUUUAGAAAUUAAAUAAAGUCUUAACAAAUAACAAAGAAAGUAGGAACAAAAUAAAAUACAUCUUCUUCUCAUAAUCCCCUUUAUUUGCAUUAACUCUUGCCGACAGUUCUUCGAAUUUGACUUUCAAAAUUUGAAUCUCUUCAUGCAUUUUGUUUACUUUCUCUAACAUUUGUUACUUCAAAGAUAUCUCAGAUAUAACUUUUGAUGCGUGAUCUAAAAACUUAUCGGUCCUCGAAUAAUUUGAACUAUCAAUUUCGGAGAUAUCUAUAGCUUUUAGAUCACGCCACAUAAAAAAAAUCACAGUAAUUUUUCGAGAUCUUUCCAUAGUUCAGACAUCCAAAAAAUCCUUUUCCUUUGCUCUUAGGUUGUUGUGAAACUCGAAUAAUAGCAGCUUUAUUAUAAUUGCAACGAACAACUCCACUUUCAUAACAGUUUUUUUUGAACCAGCCCAUCGCAUAGAGCACCUACUCUAUGCUAUUAAUUUAUCUGAUAACCUGCAUUCACAUUGCUGUUAAUUAGUACAUUAAACUAAAAAAACUUACUAAUAUUAAGUUAUUUAGUAAAUUUAUUUAGUUUUUUUUUUCUUCUUCUUUCUCAUAACAGGGGAGACUUUUUUUUUUUAUUUUUUUUUGUUGUGAAAGGCUUCAGGUUCUUUUUUUCUUUUUUUUUCUUUUAUUUUUCAGGUGUGGCCUUCGGGCGGAGGCGGGGGCGAGGAGGGGCCUUUAGGCGGGUGGCAGAGGCAGGGGUCGCGGGGGGUGGUGGCAGAGUGUCGCGCCCACCGGGUGGGGGGGAGGUGCGUCACGCGCUUGGGGAGCGGUCCCGCAGGCGGCGGGGGGUGGGGUGGGGGGGGGGGGGGGGGGCAUGGUGGCGUCGCGGUAGUGGCGCACGCCUAGGGUUCGCGGCGGGGAGGGAGGGGGAGGGGCACGGGUGUGCGGCGGCAGUGGAUUAAUUGUCUUCUUCGAUGGCGGUGUUCAAAGGAACGGAGAAGUUCCACGAUUCCACAAGGGAGGGAGAGAGAGAGAGAUUGGGGGAGAAAAGAAGAGAAGGAGCAUUUUACUGUGGAGAGAGAAGAGAAAGGGGGAGAGAGAGCCUGGGAGGCGACAAAGGAAAGACAAAGGAGAGAGAAAAAGUUCUGUUAACUUUUAACCAUUAACAGUGAAUUUUCUGUUAAAAGAAAAAUCCAUCUCAACCAUCCAUCUAGAUAGAUGGAUGGUGGAUGCCUUAAUAGCACAGGGACUAAGCACAGCAGCCCAACUCUCUCUCUCUCUCUCUCUCUCUCUCUUCUCUCUCUCUCUCUCUCUCUCUCUCUAUAUAUAUAUAUAAUAUAUAUAUAUAAGGCUAGGGCUACUAUCCUAUUAAUAAGAUAGGAGCACUUGUCCUAUCAAAUUGUUCUUGAUGAUAGAAAUUCCGAAUCGAUGAUCGGAGCCGUUGAAGUUGAUCUAGAGUAUUUGAAAUAUCUAAAAACUAAAUUUCUAAAUUUUAAAAAUUAUUUACAUGGUGAUCAAAGAGUGUCGUAAAUCGACAGUUUUUGACGGCCUAUAUGAGCCGUUUGCUUGUUUAACGGUAUAUAAUAAUCCAAAUUGCUUGAUUUUUGAUAGAAAUUUUUUAUAGUAUUUAGUAAUGUUUGAUAACUCUGAUUAUGAAUUUGAAAAAAGUCUAACCUUUUUUAAGGAAGAUUAUUCAUUUAUGACCGUUCUUUUUCAACUCUUAAGAUGAAACUUGAUAAUUAUUUUAAAAUAUUACAAAAUUUGGUUUCUAAACAUUUCUAAUUGUGUAAGAUAAUUUCAACGGUGCCGAUUAUCAAUUUGGAGUGUCGAUUAUUCAAAACGAUUUGAAUAGACAAUGGUCUCAUCCUAUUAAUAAGAUAGUAGCCGGACUACAUAAUAUAUAUUUUAUUUAUACUAUAUGUAUAUAUAUAUAUCAUAUAGUUAUAUAUAUAUAUUUCUAACUCAUUUUUCUCUAACAGUGUUAGAUUGAUUUGGGUACCAAACGAGUCCUACAUAGAAUUUAGAUUUUAUGAUAAUAUAUUUUCCACCAUUUAGAUUCUAUAUGCAGAAAAAAUUAAUAUCAAAUGCGGCUAAAAGUAACUAGUGUUCGAUGACUUUAUAUACAGUAAUGCUUUCAAUCACUUAGAAAUAUGAAACAACUAAAAUUUGAACUUAAAAUUUCGAAUAUCAAUAAUUAAAUCUUUUAAAGCCAACUAUGCUACGUACAAUCAGUAUUUCUUUUGUUCUUUGAUAAUAUAAAAAUGAUUAUAUUUGCCACCGUAUUACCAAAUUAGGUAUUAGCUCGAUCGAUCCAGCUAAAUAAGCCCAGAAGAGCCCACAAACAGUUAAAAUCAGGCCCAUUCAAUCCAUUACUAUCCAUUCGGGCCCAUUAAUUUAUUACCAAACAUACUCUUAAAAUAAUUUUGCACGAAUCUCAAAGCACCUGCUUGAAUUUCAUAAUUUGUCACACCGCAUGGAUCUUGAGGCACGAUGAACGGUGGAGAUAGAAAUGUAUCAAGGAAAUUACUUUGUGACACCUCGAUUAAUAUUUUGUACAAGCCACUGAAUAGUAAAUUUAUCAAUAGAAUAAAAUGCACGGGAAAUAAAAUAUUUUUUAUUUCUGAAAUAUAUUUCGCUAUAUGAAAAAGAUGCUGAAUGUACUACCAUAUUAUAAAAGAGAUUUUUUUUUUUUCUUUCUAUUACCUCAAGCUUUUAAAUUGGAUUCAAAUCCUAUAAUAGAAUAGUAUACUCUGUUCAUAUUUCUCUUACAAUCCGAUAUUUUUUUUGUUAUUUUUCAUUCAACCAUGUUUCAACCACAUUCAGUUCUCAACUACUUUCAUCCAAACAUUUCAGUCCGAUUUUAUCUAAUUUCGAAUCCAUUAUUUUCAGUUUUAUUGGAGCCAUGACACAUACUUGGCCAAAAUUUUAUUCGAACUCAAAUUCUACGGGACAUAUAUAUCCGAUACGGAAAGAAUAUGAUUUUUAAUAUAAAUAUAAAAAAUAAAAAUUCGACGGAUUUGGAUUCAUGAUGAAUUUUGUCCCAACUGCUAACUCAAAUUGAUUUUACGUUAAAUAAUAUAAACGAAUAUUAACUUGAUAGUGUAUUUUAACUUAUAUUUUGAUAAUUUAGAUUUUAAUAUAGGUUAAAUUAUAGAAAACUCUCCUAUCAAUAUCUGCUUUUUUUUACUUUCCUCCCCGUCAUUCAAAAAUCUAUAUUUUGUUCCCUUAUAAAAUAAAAAAUGUUUACUUUGAUCCCACCGUCAGUGUUCUGAUAGAGUUUAGUUUAUAUCAUAUUUUUUAUACUCAAAAUAUCUCUGAAACCUUCAUCCUUCCGCAUCGACCUCGGUCGCGCCGCCUCGCCUUCCGUCGCCUCGUCCUCGCCCACCUCUCUGUCCAUGCCCACACACACGCCCUUGUCCGCCUCUGCCACCUCACCCUCCUCCUUGCCCAUCUCUCCGUCCACGCCCACCCCGAAAAAAAUGAGGGCAAUUUAAUUAUUUUGUCACAGAAUAUUUCCUGUAAAUAUUUUUUAUUUUAUAAAAGAGUAAAGUGUAGAUUUUUUUAUGAUAUGAGAGGAAAGUGAAAAAAUAGGUAUUGACAGAAAUUUUUUUUAUAAUUUAACUUUAAAUAUAAUAUAUUUUGAAAAAAAUAAUUUUUUCAGAUUCGAAUUUGAAUUUUAGAUUCGAAUUCGGGUUUAAAAAAAAAAUUUGCUUGGAAUCCAACCAAUCGACACACCUACGCUCGGAAGAGCUAAAAAAAACAAAAAGGCUGCAGUGUAUAGUACGUGGCAGCAACGCACCAGGUGCACGCAAGACACAGCACCAGCCACGCAGGACCCGCUCCCUCUCGAAGCAGUCGAACGUUCCCCGUGCACCUUCCGCGGCCCCACCAUGCAACGUGGCGCCCAUGCACGGCCCCCUUUCUCCACGUCGCUUCUCCCCAUCGCGUUAUUAUAACCCCCUCACACACUACUCAUCCCCCCGCACACUACACUACCGUAGAAGAAGAAGAAGAAGAAGAAGAAGAAGAAGAAGGUCCAAUGGUGGCGAAGAAAGCGCUUCUUGGGGCCGCAGUGGUGCUGCUGCUGUGGGCGUUCUGCUCCGCUGCUGCUGCCGGUGGGGAAAAGCGCUUCGCCUCGAGAUUCCGGCCGCUUGUGACGAAGGAGAGCAGGACGAGGGUGGUGGAGACGGAGUCCGGGACGAUCACUGCCGUCGAUGUGCGUGAUGGCUGCGCGGGAGCUUACCAUCUCCAGUUCAUCACCUUGGAGCCCAGCUCACUCUUCCUCCCUGUGCUUCUGCACAGCGACAUGGUGUUCUACGUCCACACAGGUAUUGUGUAAAACGAUUCCUUGAGCACCAUAUAUAGUCGGACUCUACAUGUGUGUACAACUAUUAUGCUUUCGAAAGUAUAAAAGAGUUGUGUUUCUGACUUUUUGAUCCGUGGAUCAAGAAUUAUAGUGUUUCCUAAAAUUUAGUGGUUCUCCUGAAAAAUAAAUUCUAUAUAUAUAUAUAUAUAUAUAUAUAUAUAUAUAUAUAUAUCUAUAUAAAGAGGUAAUUGUAGUGGCGUGUUCCUUUUUUUUUUCCAAGUAAUUUCAUGGGUUGCUGUUCAAUAUUUUAUAUGUAAAUUUUUGUACUUUUCCAUUGUACUUUAGGUAAAAAUUAUAUUUAGAUAAAUGCAUGUGGUGCAGAGUAAGUAACUGAUCAGAACAAAAAUUUAAUGUGGAGAUGUUCUUCAUGCAAUUUGAUGAUGGAAUCAAAUGAUUUUCCUCCUCUUUUUUUUUUGAAAUGUUGAAAGUUUCAUGGUUAUUGAUAUUGUAAUGAUAAAAUUCUCAAUUUGUGGUUGUUUAGGGCGAGGGAGGGUGAGUUAUUUACAAGAAGAUUACAAACAUGGCACCCAAUCCAUUGACGUGAAGCACGGCGAUGUUUAUAGGCUCGAGCAGGGAAGUGUUUUCUAUGUGGAAAGCAACCCUUCUCCGACAAGGGAGAAGCUGAGGAUCCAUGCCGUUUUUAACGCCAUGAACAUCGAAAACACUGCGGUUUGACCUUCUGAUCUGUCUUGAACAUGCAUGCAUGCUUGAUGUUUACAUGUACCUUUGCUUUCCCAAAUUGUUUCCUAGCAUUGAAUUUUUUAAAAAAUUGUGGAACUUAUCUGAACUACGAUGAAUUUUGAAAGAACUAUUUAUCUCUUUUGAUUCAACUAAAUAAUGUUUCAAUGAUUCGAUUAAAAGAAAUAAACGAAGCGGGUAGGUAGCGUGCUACCUUUCUUUAAAAGAAAAAAAGAAAAGAGAUAUGCCAAGUGCAUGGCACAACACUUGAUUGUGUAACCUACAAAGCAUGUUUAAUUCAUGCAGGAGCCAUUUUUUGGAGCUUACUCAAAUAUAUGUGACUUAGUUCGAGGCUUUGAUGAACAAGUCUUGGAGAUGGGUUUUGGGGUAUGUAACAUGCUAGAACGACUCCUCAAACCACAUAAAUUGAUUUUUCAAACAUGUUUAUUUACUGAUAUUAAUUUUGUAUAAUCCCUUGCAUGUUUGAUGAAUAUAUUAGGUUUCGAAAGAAGUCAUACAGGGCAUCAUAUCGGCCGAGAGGCCUCCUUCUAUUGUUCCCUACAGUCAGAAUGAGACGGAGAAGCCGAGUUGGAAGGAAGGGAUAAUUGAAGCUCUCCUCGGAGUUAGAGGUCCGAGAGAUCUCCCGAACAAGAAGAAAACCAAGACAUUCAACUUCUUUUCUGGCAAGCCGGACGUCGAGAACUGUUACGGAUGGAGCACUGCCGUGACCAAUAAAGGCCUUAAAGCUUUGAAGGGCUCAAACCUUGGCGCAUUCAUGGUGAACCUAACAACGGUUAGUCCGCGCAAUCUUAUUACUUUUGUGGCUCAAUACCUGCAGUUAUUUUGCAUAUUAAGUCUAUUUUUGAGUUGUUCUCAAUUAGAUUAAGAUUAAUCAUCGGGGUGAUCGAUAUAGCAUCAUAGCUUUGUAUUAGAGUUUACUAGAGUUUGAGUUCACACACAUACAUUAAACCCUUAAACCUAAACUCUCGAAUUAACAGGGAAAAAUUAAUUUCAUUUGAAUUUUCUUGUGCUAAAACUUACGAGGCAUUCACAAUUUUAGGGUGCUAUGAUGGGGCCUCAUUGGAAUCCUAAGGCGACGGAGAUUGCUAUAGUGAUCCACGGGCACGGAAUGGUGCAAGUUGUUUGCCCUUCAAACCCAUCUGGUCAGAGUAACAAGUCUUGCGAGUGUAAGAACACAGCCUUUAGGGUGAAAGAAGGGGAUGUGUUCAUUGUGCCGAGGUUCCAUCCCAUGACUCAGAUAUCCUUCAACAAUGAUUCAUUCGUCUUCGUGGGUUUCAGCACCAACGUAGGGCAGAACCAUCCGCAGUUCUUGGCGGGGAAGAGGUCGGCUCUUCAAGUCAUCAACAAGGAGAUCUUGGCAAUGUCGUUCAAUGCUCCGAAUUCGACCUUAGUCGAGGAGCUACUGGCUUCUCAGCGUGAGUCCAUCAUUUUGAGUUGUACGUCGUGCGCGGAGGAUUUGGCGAAGCGAACGGAAUCGGAGGAGGCGAGGGAGAGGGAGGAAGAGGAGGCUAGGAAGCGCAAGGAAGAGGAGGCGAGGAAGCGAGAGGAAGAGGAGGCGAGGAAGCGCGAGGAAGAGGAGGCUAGGAGGAGAGAGGAAGAGGAGGCGAGGAAGCGCGAGGAAGAGGAGGCUAGGAGGAGAGAGGAAGAAGCAGCUCGACGAAGAGAGGAGGAAGAGGAGGCAAAGAGGAGGGAGGAAGAGGAGGCGAAGAGGCGGGAGGAGGAAGAAGCACGGCGGAGGGAGGAAGAGGAGGCGGCGAGGAGGAGAGAGGAGGAAGAGGAGGAGGCGCGAGGAAGGGAAGAGGGGCAAAGUGAGAGGGAGAGAGAGGGCGAAGAAGAACCUCGUCGACGGAGGCGAGAGGAAGAGGAAGGAGGAGGUGGAGAAGCUCCAUGGGAGGAGGGAGGGGAGGGGGAAGUGGUGAGACGCAGCAAAGUUGCAGCAAAGAAACUGUACAAGGGUUGAGCAGUAAAAAGCGUUUGCUGGAACGAGAAUAAUGGCUUUUCUAAUAUGUUCUUGGGGGCCAACUUUGUGAAAAAUUUGUGGCUUUUGUUCUUGUCUGAGUUGUUCGAGUAUUUUUGUGGUUUUUGUUCUACUUUAUGUUGAGUACUUUUUACGUUGGAGUUUAAAAUUUACUAGUGUACUAGUUUUGUUGUUUGAGCAAUAGAUUUCAUGCAUAGUAGUUGUUAGAUUAAAGUUACUGAAGUACUGCUAUUAAAAAAAAAAAAAAAAAAAAAACCCGAUAAAAGGGUUAUGAAAAUAUUGAUAUAUUCUUUUUUUACGUGUACGUAUUUUUAGCUUGGCACAAUUAAACAUAGUUUUGGGGAGAAAUAUAAGAGUGGUGCAGCCCCAAUAAAUAAAUAUAGAUGGAAAAACCACUUGGAAAAUUCUCAAAACUAAAUAGAGAUGUAAAAUAUUAGAGAAAGAAUAAGAAAAGUGAUAUUUUUUAUUAAGAGUCCGAUUUAUAAUGAAAAUUAUUAUAAAAGUCCUAUUUAUGAAGGCCUAAGUUUUACUCUGUCUCGCAUGGACUAAAUUCUAAAAUCUAAAAUGUUACUCCGAUUUUAGGAGCCCGUUCUCUCAUUGUACGGAAAACCAGUCCUACAAUAUCAUCAUCUCUGAAAAAAAAAAAAUAUCAAAAAUAUAUAUUAAAUUUGAUUAUAAGACAAUUUUAAUUCUUACGUCAAAAUUUUUAUAAAUAUAAAGUCAAAUUUUGACUAUGAUUUUGAAAGCUUAAAUGAACUCAAAAACCUCUUGAAAUUUGUAUAGAACUUGGUUCAUACUAAGCAUAAGACAAUUUUAAUUUUUACGCUAAACUUUUUAUAAAUAGAAAGUCAAACUUUGGUUGAGCGAACUCAAAACCUCUUGAAAUUCGUAUAGAACUUGGGUUAGAACUUUUUUAUAAACAGAAGUAUCUUUCUCAUUCUUGUCUUUGAUGAUGAGAAUUCUUUUUGCUCAUGUAAUUAAAUGGGUUUGAAGAUGGGCCAAAUUUCAUUUCUGGCCCGUUUACUUGUAGGCCCACCCUUCGUAAACCCACUAGUUGUCAAGGUCCAAAUUUUUUUUUUUUUUUUUUUUUUUUUUUUGGAGAGAGAUAGGUAGCACACUACCCGCUUCGUUUAUUUCAUUUAGAAAUAAACUUAGGUAGAAAUGUGAAUCAACUAGGAUUCGAACUUGGGUCUCGGGUACCAACCAUUAAGCCUUUUGCCACUUGCUCUAGGGACGGUCAGUAAGGUCUAAAAUAAUUGUUCUAUGUUUUAAUUCAACAAAUACAGUUUCUAGUUUGCAUGGAAUUAAUAAUCUCAUAAAGCUGGAAUUGAAAAAUUAUUGGGGCUUCUUGUAUGGUCAAGUUUGACUUUUGGAAUAGAGUAAAACCAGUUAAUUAAUUCCUCAUCGCUUUGCCUACACAAGAUUCUGAUGUUAAAAACAAAAUAAAAAUAAAAAAUAAAAGAAAAUAAAAGAAAAGAAGAAGAAACUUCUAAGCAACUUGUCUCGGUAGUUCUUAUACAAAAAAAUAAAUUUCCACUGCCAAAAAAUUAAUAUUUAAGUAUGCUUUUUUUAUAUACCUAAUGGUGCUUAAAAGCAUCCCAAUAUAAUUUAGCGUCAUAUUUGAAAGUUUUCAUUUAAGGGCAUGCAAAUAAAGAGUCGCCAUGUAUAUAAUGACACUUCAAAGUGUUGGUAAAAUAUAAUAAAACUUAUCAUUUAAUAAUUUGGCUUGAAAUGAUAGAGGGUUUAUUUGAUGACGUUUUUUGAAGCGUCAUUAUUUGUUAUAUUGUAGGGAUGCUUCUCCCAACUGUCGUCUAAAAAUGUCUUUAUAUUGAAAUUUUUUUGUAGUGUUCAAAACAAAAGUUUAAAGAAAUGUCACUUAAAAUGAUAGGUGUGGGAUAGUUGCUAGUUUAACAGUGUAAAAGAAUCGGAAUCGGUUGAAUUUUUUAUUAAAAUAUUUUAUUUACUAUAUAGAUAAAAUUCAAUAACUAUAAUUUUAAAUUGAAAAAUCUGAUUCUGUUUUUGGUUGUUCAAUUUUGAUUGUUCAUUUUAUAUCACUUGAUGAAUUUUUUUAUAAUUUCAAAAAAGUUUGAAAUUCAUUUUUAGAUAUUUUAAAUUCUUUAUAUCAUAUUUAACGUUAUAAAUCAUUGAUUCGAAAAUUAAUUCUAUCAUUCAAUGGUUAGAAAUAAUGAAAAGAGUUGAUCCAAAGGCUAAAAAACUGGUAGCAAUAAUGGCAUUUUGCUACUAAUAGUAGCCCAGUCCAACUCAUAUAGAAUUAGACUGGAAUACUAUUAAUAGUAAAACUCUCUUCUUGCUAUCAAGUUUUUAACCCUUGGAUGACAAAUUGUAGGGUUAGGAUGAUAUUAGUCAGUUAGAGUUGAGUGGUCCCCCUAGGGUUGAGUGGUCCCCACUGGGUUAUAGUAUUUAAUCCAAUGGUUAGAAAUAAUGAAAAGAGUUGAUCCAAAGGCUAAAAAACUGGUAGCAAUAAUGGGAUUUUGCUACUAAUAGUAGCCCAGUCCAACUCAUAUAGAAUUAGACUGGAAUACUAUUAAUAGUAAAACUCUCUUCUUGCUAUCAAGUUUUUAACUCUUGGAUGAAAAAUUGUAGGGUUAGGAUGAUAUUAGUCAGUUAGAGUUGAGUGGUCCCCCUAGGGUUGAGUGGUCCCCACUGGAUUAUAGUAUUUAAUCCAAUGGUUAGAAAUAAUGAAAAGAGUUGAUCCAAAGGCUAAAAAACUGGUAGCAAUAAUAAAAUUUUGCUAGUAAUAGUAGCCCAGUCCAACUCUAACUGACUAAUAUCAUCCUAACCCUACAAUUUUUCAUCCAAGGAUUAAAAACUUGAUAGCAAAAAGAGAGUUUUACUAUUAAUAGUAUUCCAGUCUAAUUAUAUAUAUAAAGUUGGGACUCUUAUCUACCAAAUGGGUAGCUGUUGCUUCUACAAGUGAAUAAGCUAUUAAUGCAGGAAAGCCAUAAAGCACAGAAACCUGCAUAAGUGAUAAGGUUUUGAGAAAUUUGACCCUAUUUAAUGACUGAAUAUGAAAGAAUUAAUAAAUAUAUAAAAGUUAUUAGAUACCUUGUUUGCGAAUUCUUGAUUUAUUUAGCAAAUUGUUUAUAUCACUAACUUCAUGUACAUUAAUCAUAUAGUUUAAGUAGUUGAGUUUUAUACUACUAUGUAUUUGUUUCCUCCUUUACAUUAAGAAAGAAUUAGAAAUAUGUUUAUAUACCAAUUUUGAAAGCUAUAAAGCAUCUAAAGGUGAAAAUUUUCUACUUUUAAUGUAAUUUGAAGGGAAAGCUUGAUAGAUUUUUUAAAUUAAUUUUUCAAAAAAAUUAUUUUUUAUUUGAAUUAUAUAUUUUUGCUAGAAUAGAUUUACGCGAAUUACAUGAGAUACUCAAAUCAAUUUUUGAGGAGCAAAGUCUAAAUUCUGUUUCACAAGAGGCAUUUGCAACUCAAAUUAAAUGGAAAGAUAAGAUAGUAAAAUUAAAACUUCUAAAUAAAUGAGAAUUAAUUCCGUAUGGUUUUAUCUAAUUGUAUUUCAAAUUUUAUUAUCAUGAUAAGCUUAGCAACAAACUUUGUGCAACAGAGAUUAAUUUACAGCUAUUAAAAGAAGCGUCUCAGAAAUAUUAUUUGAGUAGAGCAACUUCCCAACUUAUGAAGCCACUAGAAGAAGAUUCCCGAAAACGCUUGGAGCUUCUUCGAAAUAUUUUAUCAUAAAAUAAUUUUUAUUUCAUUUUAUUUUAAUUUUCAAGUAUAAUUUAAGACUUUUUGUUUCUCUGUAAACCAAUCGCUAAGAAUUGUAAAAUUUGUAAAGAAUUUUUUUGUCCGAAAACAAUUAGAAUUAAUGCGUCCUUAUGAUACAGUUAAUGUUUUUGUUUGUAUAUUAUAUUAGAGGAUAUAUUGAUUGGUCUAUAUACGCAAUCCGCGGUGCUGAGUAGAAUUGUUAAUAUGUCAACAAUCACUAAAACAUAAUUUUUGUAGAUGGAACAUGGAGCUCCAAACACGCCUUUGUGGGAAAGGCAGUGUAAUUUUUAGUACUCUUUAAAUAUAUGGUCUUGUGAAAACUAGUUUUAUUUCAUUUACUAUACUAGAUCGAUUUUUUAGGUAAUAUUAUAUCACAAUCAACAAUCAAUUCUAAAUAUCUUAUGUUUGAAAAUAUUAAUAAUACCAAGUACAUGAUAUUAUAAGAUUUUCGACCCUAAUAAGAUGAAUGAAUGUGUGAUUAGGAUGAUAGUAAUUUUCUAAGGAUGAGUGGGUGGAUGGUUCGUUGAAUAGUAUAAAUGGAUGAAAUGAUUAAAUUAAAGAGUAGAUCUAACGGUGAAAAAUUCGAUAGCACUAAGUAUUUAAUACUAUCGAUAUUAUUAUAGUCGGACUCUUUCUCUCUCUAUAUAUUUAUAUAUGCAGUACCAUAGCUCUAUUACUAUAGUCAAAAAAAAAAAAAAAAAAAAAAAAAAAAAAAAAAAAAAAAAAAAAAGCAGCAUGCUCAUAAAGCGACUAAUUCUGAACCAUUUUCUAUAAUUUCAUUCCACCGCUUAAAUCGUCGACACAAUCGGACGGCGGAGAGCGGAUGAUCAUCCACCGUUCAUGGGUCUAUCAUCGUGGCAUUCAGUGCCUCGCACGGCAUUCCGUAACGCCCCUGCAUUUCCCACCCCUUCAUUAUUAACUCGUCUUAUCUACACCUCAUUAAAUAAGCUCGAGAAAUCAAACACACGGCCCCACUAUUUAAUGCUCCUUGCUCGAAUUUUAGAGGUGAAAAUAUGUGAACACCCCCUCAACUAUACGUUAUUCGGAAUCAAACUCCUCAACUCUUUAAGUUUUUAACUGAUAUUUAAUGCAUGGUUGUAAUUUAUCUAAUUAAAAUUUCUUAGAAAUUAACUUAAACAACUAAAUAAAAUAUAAUGAUUAAUCGAUUUGAUAGAAUUUUAUAAUUCAAAGGACUGUUUGAGAGUGUUCGAUAGUUGAGAGGGUCUCCGUACAUUUGUGCCUUAUUCAUUUAUGUAAGUGUAAAGGUAAAUUAAUCAAUGCGUUCAUUUUUGGUUUUGGCUCCUUUGACCAGUGGUCUACGCAGAGAGGGGCUUAAUUAAUUAAUUUACUGCAAUGAGUUUUGCAUGGAUAGCGUGGAUCCUGCCACGUGGCAGCGUGUCGCCACUGCUUCCAACAUGACGUGUCCGGGCCCACAGGGGUUAGAUGUGGGUCCCAUGUGUAUUAAAUGGCCAUUUCUCCUUUUAUUUUAUUUUAUUUUAUUUUUUUUUAGCUUUUAUCAGAUGGGUUGUUGCAAAUUUAAUUAAACAGUGAAAAAAACAAUAUUUUAUGUGGUUGACAAAUUAUGGAAUAAUAUGCAUUACACUUAUUAUUAUUAUACCAUAUAAUCAAUAAUAAGUUAAUUAUAUUUUUUAUUUUGAAUAAAAAAUAUAAUAAAAAUAAUUUUCUAUUAAUCAUUAUAGAAUGAGUAAAUUCAAAAAAAUUGUAAUUUGUUGAGGACGCUAUAUCAGCAAUAUAAAUAAUGUAUUCUAAAUUUUUUUCAGAUUGAUUCGGUAAUAAAACGGAAAUAACGAAACGUUAUCUCCACCAUUCUACCAAAUAAAAUAUUUUUGUACCAAAAUAAAUAUUUUUUAAAUUUUGUUAUUUUUAAUUAUUUCAGAAUAAUUUGAAGUAUCCUAUUCCACCCUUCCACCCUUUUAAUAUAAUAUAAUAAUAUAAUAAUAUUAUUCUAAGCUUAAUUAUUAAAGAUUAUAAAAUUGUUAUUAAAAUUAAAUUAUGUAGACGUCACAUGUUACAUAUUUUAAUAAAUUUUGUUUUUAUUAUAAAAAUUAUUAUUAUAUAUUAUUUGUAUUUAAAUAUUAUAAUAAAUUAUAUUUAAAUAUUAUAAUAGACAAUUUUUAGUCAAUUUAAGUUUAGGUAGAAUUUUUAAAAAUAGUACUAUAUUUCAAAUGCGAUUUAUUUUUAUAUCAAAUUUAUUGUGAAAUAUUAAUUAUAUUUUAUAUCAAGUUCUAUUAUUAUUUUUUUCACUACUCUCUACUAUUCAAUAAAAUUAACCAAACGUAAUUUUAAUUAUCCUAAAUACAACAAUAUUACAUGCCAAGUAUAAUUUUACUUUAUUCCUAAUUAUUCAAAAAUAGUAAACUACUAUUCAUCAUCCCUUAAUCAAACUGUGUCUAAUGGUAUUAACCUCAGGUUGAAUAGAAAUUAGAAGUUCUAAUCAGUAUAUAAUGUUAGCAGUUUCUUCGUCUAAUUUCAUGAUUAACUUUUCAAUUAUUUUAAUUAUUAUUGCUUUUAUACCUUUGGAAAGUUUCAAACUUUCUUAUUACCUCUUUUAGAAAGUUAAUACAAAAAAUAUUCUGUUAACAUUCAAAACUCUUUCAAAUAUAUUUUUGUAUUUAAAUUCUAUUAGGUAACCAAUAGAAACAGCCGCCAUCUCUAUGAAUAAUUAUCAUUUUGCAAUAUCAAAUAAUCCUUCUACUGUCACUAGCUUUUUUUAUUUGUUCUCAAGUUAGAGACAAAGGAGGUAUUUUGACUUCUAUUUUACACUAGUAGAAUUUAGGAAAAACUUCGAAAAACCCUCCUGUGGUUUCACACUUUUUUAUUUUAGUACCCUGUGAUUUAAAGUGUAUCAAGUUAGUACCCUGUGGUUUAUCAUUUUAUCACUUUAGUAUACUGUGGUUUAAAAUGUAUUAAGUCAGUACCCUUUGGUUUUUCACUUCAUCACUUUAGUACCCUAUGGUUUCACACGUUAUCACUGUAGUAGCCUGUAAUUUAACAGACCACAGGGUACUAACUCAAUACAAAAUUAAAACCACAGGGUACUAAAGUGAUAACGUGCAAAACUACAGGGUACUAACUUGAUACACUUUAAACCACAGGGUACUAAAGUGAUAAAGUGAGAAACCACAUGGUACUAACUUGAUACAUUUUAAAUCAUAGGGUACUAAAGUGAAAAAAAUUGAAACCACAAGGGGAGUUUUUGAAGUUUUCUCUAGAAUUUAAUACAAGUUUAGUCCGCAACGAAUUAAAGAGUACUAAUAGCUGGAUUAUUUUUGAAUAACGGAAAAAUAUACAAGGACUAUAUUUGAAACAAUAUAUAUAUAGACAUAGGCUGGAAUACUGUCAAUAGCACCAAGCUAUUGGUGCUAUUAGAUUUUCAACCCUUGCAUGAAAAAAAUAUACGGUUAAGAUGAUGUGGGCCUUCUAGAGUUGAGUGAGUUAUUGGUUUAAUAGUAUAAUCUAACGGGUGAAAAUAGUUAAAGAGUUAAAUCUUACGGUAGAAAACUUGACAGGACCAAACGAUUGGUGCUAUCGAUAGUAUUCCAGCCGGAUUCUAUAUAUAUAUAUAUAUAUAUAAUUUUUCAAAAAUUUUAAGGGGUAUAUAAGUAACUAUCCCUUAAUUUUAAUAUGGUACCUGACUUGCAUCUCCCUUUAUAGCAGUUUCUUUCAAUUUAGCUCUAUUUUAAUGUAGUCUUUAUUUGGUUCUCAUCCGAUUUAAUAUUGAUCUGAUUUUGUUCUGUUCUUGUGCAAACCACACUGAAUCCCUAUACUAGUAGGGACCUGCAAAUGUUAUGUUGUAUGAGGAAUUUACCUUAACUAUAUAUUAACUCUAACUUUUGAAUUAGAUCAGAAGCUUUAACAAUUAUAGUUAUUAUUUGCUUUGUGAAUUAUAUUGCUCUGCCUUGUGAAUUAGAUCAAUUAGUCAAUUAAAAUCUUUAAAAGCCAAUUUUUCUAUUUCUGCAACGGUUCUUUGAAGACUACAUAUUUAGAUGGGAUGCUCGUUAACUUUAUAGUAUCAGAAUUGAAGAUUCUAAAUUUGAAUCUCGCAAAGGCAGAUAUGAUGGAGAAUGUUAAAUAUAAAAAUAUAACAAAUAUCAUUCUCUAUUAUCUUAAAUUUUGAAGAACAACGAUUGUUUCUUAUAAUUUCAUACUUGUGAGAUGUUAUACUUAGUGAUUGCUUUUGUCUUUAGUUUCUCUAAAGUGUUUUUUUUUAAGAAAACUUCAAAAACCUCCUUUGUGGUUUCACUCUUUCUCAUUUUAGUACGCUAUGGUUUAAAGUGUAUCAAGUUAGUAUCUUGUGGUUUUGCACUUUCUCACUUUAGUACACUGUGGUUUACAGUGUAUCAAGUUAGUACCCUGUAGUUUUGCACUUUCUCACUUUAGUACCUUGUGGUUUAAUAUUUUAUUAAGAGAAAAAUAAAACCACAGGGUAUUGACUUGAUACAAAAAUAAAACCACAGGAUACUAACUUGAUACAAAAAUAAAACCACAGAGUACUGACUUGAUACACUUUAAACCACAUAGUACUAAAAUGAGAAAGUGCAAAACCACAGGAUACUAACUUGAUACACUUUAAACCAUAGGGUACUAAAAUGAAAAAGUGCGAAACUACAUUGGGUUUUUUGAUGUUUUCCCUUUUUUUUUUUAUUUCUUUCAUGUUUAUGAGCUAGAUUAUUUUAUAAACUUUAGAUUUGCGUUCGAUUUUUAUACUUUCUCCUUUUCUUUUUUUUUUCUAAUCUAAUUAGAUUAAUAAACCAUGUAUUAUAUUUGUCCUUUAAGUUUUGAUGUUUUAUUUGUUUUUACUUUUUUAUAUCUUAAUGGGUUUGCUUUGUAAGCAAUUACUCCUCUAUUUAUACAUAACAGGAGUGCUCUAUUUUUUACAGAUCCUAAGUGCAGAGUUUAGAUGACUAAUAUAGGGGUGGCUAUUAUUACAACAAUAUCAUUUGAAUUAACACUAUUAUUUAUGAGGACUUAAUUAAUUAUAGCUAUAUCUCGCAAUGUUUACAAAAUUAAACCAAACUGGCCGAUCUGAUUGAGUUAAAUAAUCGAGAAAUAUGAAAUUAAUUCCUCCUAGUCUAUAUCACUACAACAAAAAUGGCGCAAAGCGACACUUUUAAAUAUCGGUACAGUUCAAAAAAGUACUGCUGGCUAAAUUACCGAUACUUUUUAAAAGUGUUGUUAUACGUGGGAUCGCUAUAGAUAAGACCGACUUGAUAUUUGGCACCCACUCCUCCAACGACUUGUAGCAGAGGGAUACGUGACGAUCGUAGUCUUCUAUGGUCCCUACGAGAUCCUCGCGGCCAAACUUCAGCCGUCGGAACCCUACCUCGUUGGCUGUGACGGCGGCGGCUCGAGGAGAAGGGGAGAUUGUGAUUUUUUGUUUUUUCUUUUUUAUUUGUUACCGGGUCGAGUAGGUUGAGUAUGGUUGGUUGCGUAGAGAAACUUUUGUUUUUGAUUGGAUUGAGUUUUAUAUUUAGGCAUUAGUAGAUUUUUAAAAAAAGUUUUGGUAUAAAUAAGACACUUAUAUAAAAGUGUCUUAAAAAUGUGUCUCUAUAAUCUAAUUCUGUUAUUGUAUGUAAAAUAUAUAUCUGUCUUUUUUCAUCAAAUCGAUAUUUUGAAUAAUAUAAUAUCAAAUUCUAUCGAAAGCUUCAUCAUAUUCGGAUGUUAUAUGUUGGAUUCCUUCUUUCUGAAGGGUUAAAUUUCACAUUUUUACACUAGUGGUCACAAAACAUUUCGUGGAGGGUUUUUUUUUUUUUUUUUUUUUUUUUUUUUUUUUUUUUUUUUUUUCAGGGUAUUGAACUUUAAUUACUUGAUGUUGAGUUACUGAGCUUUAACUUGUUAAAUUGAGCUCCUAAGAUUACUAACUAUCAAAUCAUCUAUAAAUUUAGCAAAAUUUGGCACAGCUUACAGUCAAGUGAUCUAAUCGUUAUAAAUUGAAGUUCAGCUUUCUAAAUGAAACUCCAAAAAAAAUUCAGUGACAUGGAAAUAUAACAAAAUAAAAAUCAAGAGAAAGAUAGUACGCUAUACGUUUAAUUCAUGUAGAAAAUGAAUUCAGCUAUAGGCGUUAAGGUAACUCGGUAUCAAAAAAGUUAAUAAGCAACCGCACCAAAAAAUAAAAAUAAAAAUAAAAAUAAAAAUAGAAUAAUGAAAAAGGAGUUUACUUAGAGCCACAAAAUUCAGCACAUGCAUUCCCUUUCAUAAUCUCACGUUUGUCUAACAAAGAUAAGUAGACGACCUUGAUGAGAUCUUUCGCUGAUUUUCUUUGGGAGCAUUGUUAAUAAUUUUAGUUUCUUGAUACUAAGAUCUAACAAUAUAAUUUUUUAUUUACAUUGUUAACAAUUUUAACUUCUUGAUCAUAAGAUCUAAUGAUAUAAUUUUUCAUUUACAUUGUAAGCAAUUAAUCAUCUAAGCCAAAUUAUAUACUUAACAAGACAAAGGCUCAUCUGACUAUCGAAAUAAAUUAUCUAAUGAUUCCUUAUUCCGUAUUAAAAUUUUCUUUACGAUUGAUAGUAAUGAGUUUGAUUUUUUCUCGUUGAAAGAUCUUAGCAUCCAUUACUUGAUAAGAUAGUGCAAGAAGAUUUAUCUUAUUCCAAAAACAUAACUUAUAAUAUUGCAUUUCAUAUAUCUGAUCAUACUUCUUUUCUAGAAAAUAAGUAAGUUUAUUAAAUAAAUUAAUGAGAUUAUUGAAUAAGAUAUUUUCGUCUCCAAAUAUAAGAAAAUUUUAAAAAAAAUAAAAAUGAGAGAGAGAUAAUAUCCAAAAUUAUUAGUGUAGGUCCCAACAUUUUUUUUUCUCCAUUAAACCCUAUCAACCAACCGACCAUAAAUUCAUGGAUCAAUGUAGUACAACAUCACCAAGAAAAGAAAGAAGGGGGAGAGAACUAUAUAUUCUCUCCUUUCAUUAAUUAUCUUUGGGACAAUUUUUUCUUAUUUAGGAUAAGUGUACGUAGUUCGUAACUAAAAUCACGUUUUAAAUGAGUUAUAAUUAAAAUUAAAAUGAUUAAUUAAUUCUAUUUAUUUAUUUGGGUCAUAAUCAGAAUCCAAAUCGAAAUGAAUGAUUCGAUGACGUGAACUAUAUCUUAUAGUGAGGCUUACUCCCUAUUGAAAUGGGAUUCAUAGUAAGAGAUUACGGCAAAGUUCAAUACAAAUUUCUAAAUUUUAAUGUAGUUCUCAAAUUUUUAAAUUCAACAUUCAAGAUUCUUAACUUUUAACAAAAUUUUACUUAGAGUCACUAAACUUUGAAUAAUUACAUUAACAUGUAGAUGCUCUUGAUGUAGUCAACAUUUAUCCAUUAAUAACAGGCAAACUUCAAUUUGUUCCCCUGCGGUUUAGUGGAUUUUCACUUAAUUUGCUACCCUGGUUCAAAAAAUUAUUCUUUAUUCUAUAAUUUUAUUUUUAUUUAUAAAAAAAAAAAACAAACCUGCCGCAAAUAGAAUAGUAAAGUAAAUUUUUUGAAAACCGUAAAGUGAUAACUUAUUUAACCAUAGAUUUUUAUAGUAAAAUAAAAAUUAAAAUACAUAAUACUUUAAACUUUUUGAGCUGUAAGGUGGUAAGCAAAAACACACCAAAUCAUAGGAUAAUUAAGUAUAAUUUUUUACACUAUAGAACGACAAAAUAAAAAUAUAUUAAAACGCAAUAAUUUAAAUAGAUCGAAGUGGAACUGGGCGCAGGAAUACUUCUAAAAGUACCAAGGUUCUGAUACUUAUAAAUUUUUUGACUGAUCAAAAGUCAAUAAUGAUGAUUACAUAUGAGGCUCACCAUAAUGCAGGAUCUGAAAAUCUCUAUGAUUGAUUCAAUGAUCAAAACGACUAUAGUAUCAAUAUUUUGAUACUUCUAAAAGCAUAUUAGCAGGACUCAGACUAAAGUAAAAUAUUUUUACAGACUUAAAAUAUGUAAUAUUGAAUUAAAAAGCAUAAGGAACAAAAUAGAACUUUGCCGAAAGUUUAGAAACUAGUGGUGCAAUAUUUCCCCAAAAAAGAUUCUAUCCUACCAAAAUGGUACGAAUUGGAGACAAUUAUCCUUUGUCCCUUUCAAGUCCCAAACUUUCCCAAACUGUAUAGAUCAGUUCCGUGAGUUCCUUGUGGAUUUCUACAAAUGAAAAGAGACUUUUGAUACCCACAAAAAAAAAAAUUCCUCAGUUGCUUAACAACUCUACAAUGCAAUGUCGUUUUGCUUUAAAUUUGUGAUCCUUAUUGAAAGGAAGAGUCAAAGGAUGGCCUUUCCAAGUCCAAUGUGAAUUGGCUUUUUUGUUUUUUGUUUUUAGUUUUUUUUUUUUUUCCAAAGUGGGAAGAUUUUUCAGUUGAAUAUUCAUAUUAACAUAUAUUCCUAGAUCAGUAUUAAACCGAUAUUUCACGUAUACCAUGAUAUUAAGCCAAUGAUAAACAUCUGAGAUCGUAAGUUUGAUACCUGUGCACAUCUGUUAUUUAGGAUAUAUUUGUUUUACCGAAAGUAGAGAGAAAUGAAGUGGUAUUUGAUUAUAAAUGCCAACUUCGGUUGCUUGGUUCUCUGUAGUUUCACUUUUGAUUGAAAUUGAAACUCUUGGUAAUAUUGUUAGUGACUUUGAUCUAACCUAGGUUCAAAUCGAUUGCUGAAAAAUGUGAGAAAAUUAAUAAAAUAUUAAUUCAUCUCUCACACAUUCAGUUUUUAUAUCGUUUACUUUCUAUCAAACAAACAAUAGAACUAGAAAAAUUUUAGCUCCUCAACAUUACAAACAAACGGUGAAAAAUGUAUAUUUGUUGGGUUAAAGUAGAGCUCAGAUAAAAAUUAUUUUUUUUCCAUUGUUUGUUUUCAUAACUAUGCAAGUGAAGUUUCUCAAAUUACGAUACUUGUUUGGCAAACAAUAAAUGGCCUAAAAAGUAUAAUUUAUAUAUAAAUAAUUAAUAACUUGAUAAUAAUAAAUUAUAAUAUAAUAAUUAAAAAAUAAUAUAAUUGUACUUCUAUAAAAUAAAAAAUAUAAUAUAAAACAACUAAAUUAAUUUUUGUAUACAUGGCUCAUCAUAAUCAUAAUAAAACAAUAAAAUCAUAGAGUAAAAGAAAUAUUAAUACCCAACUAAUCAAUCUUUACCGUAUUUAAUUUAAAUGAAGUAAAUGAAAGAAAUACUAAAAUUUAAUUAAUCAUUUUCUAUCACAUUUUAAACAUAAGAGAGUAAUUAGUGUCACAAUCAAACAUACUUAAAUAUAGCUAGUAUUACUGAUGGUCUUAUUAUUAUUAUUAUUAUUAUUUUCAUUUGAGUUUCCACUGUUUCUUUAUUAUGACGAACCAAAUAGCAGAAGUCGUCAUUUACGGCCGAAAAUAAUUUUACCCUCUCUACUUUCAUCCAAAUAAAUAGGCCCUUAUAUAAACUCAGGUUUAUUUGAAAGUCUACUUCAAUUUAAACCUCAUUUUUAAUAAAAUAAAAAAGUAUUUAAUAGGCUAAUCAUUCUAUUUGGCACGACUUGGUUGAGUGGCUUAUGAUUCCAUCUAAAUUUUAAGGAAACGACUCUAAUACAAUACCGAACUACAAUUCAAUCACUCAAUUGAUUACCGCAAACAACAUGAACAUAAAUAAGCAGGUACAAAAGAGACUUUUGAGAAACACUUGAUACACUUCUCAAUGUGUUUUUUUUUUUUUUUUUUUUUUUUUUUUUUUUUUUUUUUUGAGGUUUAUACAUUCUCUAUGCUAAAAAGGUAACAUGUAAUAGGAAUCCCUCUAUAUUUAGUCAAGUAUCAUGUUUUGCCCUCCAAUUUGAGUUGAAUAAUCAAACUUUCAAAAUGUUCAAUUUUUAAAGCUUGAAAUUGCAAAUGCCAAAUCCAAAAGUACUUUUGGGAUCAGAGUAAAAUUUGACCAAAAGUUUGGAGGAUAGAGGUGGAAUUUAUUCUUUACUAUCCGUUGACAUCUAAUUUUAACGCCAAGAUAUAGAUGAGCUCAAGAGAGAGGCAUAUAUAUAGGGGAAAAAAAGGGCGCCGAAAUAGGCUUCAGUGCAAGAUAUAAGCCUCGAAGGCUAUAUCGAAGGAGGCUUUGGUACCCAGCACGAGCUUCUCAAUCUUUUAAAAUUUUAAUUUUACUAUUCAAUCUUUCAAUUUGUUUGAUUUGAACUAAGCAACGGAAUUUCAAAAAAAUUGGACGGUAAAAUUAAAAUUUAAAAAGCUGAUAGUCAAGUCAAAAUAGUCUAUAUAUCAAGAAAUCUUUGUUUAUUUUUAUUUUUAUUUUGAGAACCCUAGCUAUUUUGUAAGAGUUAAAAAUGUGAAAAGGAAAAUGAUCAAUAACAGGGCAGUUUGCGGCCCUGCCGAAGAGAGCUAUAAGUGAACUCUAAUUCACAGGACGUCCGAUUCCGUAUAGAUCCUUAAAAAAAAAAAAAAAGGAUUAAUUUUAUACAGUUUUAUAUAAACAUUUCGAAUAAUAAAUAUAUUUUAAUAAAAUUUAAUUUUUCAUAUUUAUUCAUAUAAAAGUUCAGUGAUAUUCAUAUUUAUUCUUUUAAUUUGGUAGAGCACGGUUUUUUUUUUAAUAAAAAAAUAUAUAAAAUGAUAUUUUUGUCAUCAUAAAUAUAUCCUUUCAAAAAUCUUAACUGUUAGAAUUAUACAGAGAUAUCAUUUCCAAAAUUUUCAAACGAUCAUUUUUUUUUUUGUACCAUCACAAAUAAUAUAAGAGGGAUAGAAAAGUCAAUUAUCCUAUUCAUUAGCUAGAGUUAAGUAUUUUAUCUAUGAUUAACUAUAUUUUUCUAACGGAUUAUAACAGCAGGAAUAUAUUUGAAAACAUUAGACCUUUUGUAGAGAUAAAUAUGAAAAUUUAAAUUUUGUAAGAAUGUAUCUACUAUUCGAUAUAUUAAUAAAUUAAAAUUUUUGCCAAAUUAAUUAAUGAUUUUAUCAAUUUGAAUAAUUUAAACUGUUUUGUAAUAAAUAAAAUUACCUCCAUUAAAUAUUGUUACAAGAAAAUUUUAAAAGUCAAAGAAAUGUCAAUAAAAAAAAAAAAUCAAAAUUCAGGGGCCUAAUACACAAUAGCAAAUUGGUUGAGGGGGUCUCUGUGCACUUUUGACCAAACAACAACAGCAAUGGGUCAACAACAUCAAUAGGUCAUUAAUACAUUGUCACAUAGUGGAUCGAAAACUCAAAUCAUAUAAAUGCGAAAAAAUAUAUAUAUAUAUAUAAAAUAUAUAAUGAACGAAAUGAGCCGGCCCCAGAUAAAACACUGUAUUUACCUGUUCACCGAACUAUAUAUACUACAUUAUUAUUUAAUGUAAUAAAAAGAGCCUAUAUAAGAUUACAAAACAACAAGGAUUAAAAGGUAAAAAAAGGAAAACAACCGAAAAAAAGAGAGAAAAUUAAACAAAAGCUAGCUAGAAAUGAACGAGUCUAUCCUCUGCCCUUUACCUUCCUACAAACAAAAUGCAAAAGCUUUGCAAGAAACAUGAAAAAAGAGCCAAAAAUGAAACAAAAUUAAAAGAAACAUGGAGCUAUGUUCGCGUCUGCAUCUUCUUCUUCUUCUUCUUCUGCUACUAAUAAACCCUCACCGCCGCGAACUCCGUGGCCGCGCCAAAACUAAGCUCACCGGACUCCGCCCGAAUCGGCGAAAAGGGCCACUACAGCAUUGCCGGGCUAUUGGACUUGCGCUCCGCCGCGCCCUCCCACGGCUUGCCACCGUAAGGCGCGGCGGCGUUCGAGCGCUGCACUCCGCCGGCCCCCAUAUCGAGCCCGCCGCCAAUUGAGGUGAUGAGUGCAGAGAGACCGCCUGCGGUGGCGGCGGAACCGCCGAUCGGUCCCAUCGCCAAUCCGAGCAGAUCCAGCGUCGUCGGCUUCGGCCCCACCAGCGGGGACGGGCCCAUCAUCAGCUCCGGAAGCCCCGGAGCGGCGCCGUCGUAGGGGAGGCCGAGGCCGAGCCCCGCGGAGAGCAUCGGCCCUGGCUCUGGGUGAUCCAAAUUGUGGUGCCAUUGGUCCUGCUGGGGCUGGGGAUUGGAUACGGAGGUGGCGAGGCCGAGGCCGCGGAGGAAGGACGAGCCCGACGCGGCGGCGCCCAUCUGGGCGGCCUUCUGCAGCAGGGCGGUGGCCGACAUGUGCGGCGAGGGCGGCGGCGGAGGAUGCAAGGCGAAGGGGCUGCACUGAUCGGACGACGCCGAAUUCGGGAACAGCGCAGCGGCGGCGGCGGCGGCGGCUGCUGCGGCGGCGGCGGGAGAAUUGGUGGACAGGCAAAGGGCGGGCGGCGGCUCGGCGCGGCCCAUGGCUCCCACCAGGUCGGAGAACGCGGUGGUGCUCUGCGCCGAAGCCACGGAGGGCGCCACCGAGGCGAAUAAGCUCGCAAACAAGCUCGUCGUCGACGUCGCAGCGCCGCCACCGCCACCGCCACCGCCGCUGCCGCCACUGCUAUUGCUUCCACUCGUAGUAGCAGCACUAAUCCCAAUCGUCGUCGUCGACGGCGGCGGCAUAUACUGGAAAAUCCCCGGUGGAUUCUCCGGCUCUGCAAGAAUAAAGUUAUUUAUUGGGUUUGCAAGUUUAGUACAAUUAUUGGAGUCACGAGAAAAAGAAGAGGGGCAAAAAGAUGAGCAAUGAUGCGUUAUGAUUUUGGGAAAGAAAAUGGGGUUUAGACUUUUAAAAAGGGCGGAAGAGAUCGACCACCACCAUAUCUUUUGCUUCAUCCCCUUCAUCCCUUAUAUUCUUUUUAUAAUAAUAAUAAUAAUAAUAAUAAUAAUAGUCAUCAUCGAUCUGCUUCGAGGUUGCAGAGAGAUGGGAAAGCUCCGUCCGGAAAAUGAAAGCAGGCGUAAAGUUUUAAUCAGAGACGCCCCUUUUCGCACAUCAUCUUAUUAUUAUUAUGGGAAAUUAUUAUUAUUAUUAUUAUUAUACAAACACAUAAAAAAUAGUCAUAUUAAGAGAUUUAUUUAUUGAAAUAAAAAAGAGAGAAUCCACUCCACUGCACAGCACACCGCCCCGAAAACACACCCACUUUCCCUUUCUUUCUCGCUCUGCGAGACUCUUUCAUUAAUCACGUUCCCCACGCACCAACUCCCCUUCCCUCUCUCUCUCUCUCUCUCUCUCUCUCUCUCUCUUUCUUCUGUUUUGUUGCAUGUGAAUGGAGAGAGAGGGUACUCAGGGAUUAGGCCGUUACGGGACAAAAAACACGAUCACCCACCCCGAUAUCACAAUCGCAGUUGCUUCCUUUUUUUUAUUAUUAUUAUUAAUUUUAUAUUUACUUUUAAAAUUUAAAUUGUAUUGAGAGUCCCAGAUCCGACAAAACCCUACGGAAGCUCCCCCUUUUCUUCGCCUCCCCCUUCUAAACAAUUCGAUUAUCUCCGAACGAGUCCAAAAGAGAAUCAUCAACAUAAUAUAAUCCAUCCAUCCGAAAAGUAAGAUAACAUUUUUACCCAAAAACAAGCACAUAAAAACAAACACACACACACACACACACAAAAUAAAAACUAAUCAAGUACCAAAAACACCGACCUUGCUGCUCCGGUGGCGUCACCACCUGCCUCAGCGGCGGCACUUCCUCCUCCGGCGCCGGAGCAGGAGCAGGCGGCGGCGGCGGCGGCGCCGGCGACGGGUGCGUCUUCGCGCUCUCCUCGGCGAGCGCGUCGCAGAACGCGCGGUGCGUGAUGAAGCUAUCCCUCCUAUAAAACAAAAAAGCACCCGAUCAAAAGUGAAUGUUGAGUGUUGAAUUCAUGGGGGAUAUAUACAUAUAGCGUGUAGUGUGUAGGUACCGAGAGAAGAGAGUGCCGCAGUCGCAGCGGUACUCGCGGGUGCCGCAGGUCUUGGCGUGGGCCUUCCAGUCGGACUGGACGGCGUACUUCUUGGAGCACUUGUCGCACUUCCACUUCUUCUCGCCGUGCUUCCUGCAGAAGUGCUUCUUGAUGCCGGUGAGGUCGCCGAGCGCCCGCGCCGGGUCGUGGUGCACGCACGUCGCCUCCGGGCACACGUACACCCGCUUCCGCGCCUCCUUCCCCGUCCGCUGCCGCAGCUUCCACGGCAGGUUGUGGCCCCUCCUGUGCAGCUGCAGGUUCUGGUCCCGCUGGAACCCCUUGUUGCAGAUCUCGCACACGAACCGGUUCGUCGCCAUCAGCGUCUUCGGCGACAGCGCUAUCACCUCCGCCUCCGGAUCUUCAAUUUCAUUUCAAUUCAAACCACCACCCGCAUCAUUUCUUUUAGAUUAUAUUACCUAAAACCUUCCGUAAAGAAAGAAAAUUCAUCCAUCUUAUUUUUCAGCGCUUCUUCGAUAUUUACCUGGCAUUCCGGGGAGGUUCCUCUUCUUCUUCGCCGGCGGAGGCAUCGGAUGCGGCGGCGGCAGCGGCAGCAGCUGCUGCGGGCCCGAUGAGGACACGCUCGCCUCUCCGGAAGCCGAGUUCGACGCCGUCAUCACCGACGAAUUCUCCUGCUGCUCCGUCGGCAUCGAUCGCCGGACCCUCCUCUUUUUCAAUUUGUACCGCCCCAAAAACACAAAAAUUACCAAAUCAAAACAAGAAAGCAGCAGGCAGCUACCAGUCAAGUCAGUCUCCCACCACCACCGAUCACUGACUUCCUCCUCGAUAAUCGCAAUCGCCGAUUACGGAGAUUUUCGCUUCGCUUUGAUGCCACGCCAAAUUAAACGCCCCGCUCGCGAAACGCGGACCGUGGGACGAUCUCAGCCGUCCAUCUCGCGGCGGCUACGGUCCUGGGGGCGACGGGGGGGCGGCUACAAAGAAAUUUCUUUAGAGAGGGUCAGAGAGAGAGAGAGAGAGGGGGGAGACAAGGGGGAACCGGGGAAGGGGGGGAGGGUGAGGUUACCGCGGGAGAGGGCGGCCGACGUGGAACGAUCAGCGCCGUCCACGUGUCGGCAGGAGCGGGGCUGUGGGGCGCUCGGCAUCUGUUCCGGGGCUGAGUCAGGCUGAGUGGCGACCCCCCUCUUUUGUCGUUUAGUGCAGGGCUCUAUGUUGACUGAAUUUACAAAAUGGCAAUUUUUAAUUAUUAAAAUUGAGAGGGGCGUAAAAUGUCAUUUCCUAUUCCAGAGGCAGCGUAGUGAAAGUUAUAGAACAGCGCACAGCGGAUCUGGCGAAUAGAAACUUGACACGUAGUCAUAACUAGCUUUUAAGUAUUCACCAUUGUUUUAUAAUAAAGCAAUCAACCACCGUAUUGGCGUACUAGUUCGAUGGCAUUUUAGCAGGAAUUUGGUAUAAAAAGGAAAGCGGGUUCGUUGCAUUAUAGGACUCAACUUUUUACCAAAUUUUAAUUUAAUUUGUGUUUUUUUUAAAAAAAUAAAUUUCAUAUUUUUAUGAAUUUUAUAAAUAUAUUAUAUUAGUCUAUUACAUUAUCUGUUAUUAAUCUUAAUUAUCGACUAAAAAUGUUGUUUGUGUGGAUAAUAGAUAAGCAUUUAUGACCAGAUAUUUAUUAGAGUCAAGAGGGAUUUUGUUUUUCUUCUAUGGGACAAAAUGGAUGGUUAAGAAAAGUUUUACAAUGAUAGUUAAGUUCCAAUUUGUAUUUUGCGAAACACGACUUCUACAUUUUAAAAGGAGAAUGUAUAAUUUACGCAUUUCAUUCUAAAAUUUAAAUUCUUUAAAACUUUUUAGUAUUAAAAACAAAUUAACAAAAUGAUGGCUCAAUAAAAACAGCGAGAUGAAGGGGUGUAAAAUUUAUGCUCUCUUUUCAAGUAUACAACUAGCACUGCUCAUUGUAUUUCUGGUACAUAUAUUAGUUUAAAGAGUUAAUUUCAUACAGUUCUCUAUAACUAUAGUGAAUGAUAAAUAUAUCCCUACAAAGUUCAGCUUUUAUAUGUUGUCCCUCCAAAAAUUUUAAUGUUUUCAAAUAUAUCUCUUUGAUUUGUUACCAUUAGAUAAUCGUUCAUAUUUUCAAUUUUGCCAUCACAAAUAUAUCUCUUCAAAAGCCAUAACAGUGUAAUAUAAGAUGAGUAAAAAUGUCAAAAACAAGCCAAGGUUAAGUAUUUAAUCUCUGGUUAACUAAAUUUUUCUAACAGAUUCUAAUGACAAGGACAUAUUUGAAAACACUAGAAUUUUUGUAAGGACAACAUAUAUAUAAAAGUUGAACGUUGUAGAGAUAUAUUUGUCAUUUAUUAUACUUGUAGGGACCUGCAUGAAAUUAACCCUAGUUUAAAAAAUAUCUAGAAAAUAUUUAAGUUA
rnacentral:lncRNA from 1 species